AAGGAUAGACAUGCGAGACUAACUUGAGACAAUCAACAAAGAUCAUAACCAAUUUCACUACUAGAUUAGGCCAAACUUAAGGAGAUCAACAAGGUUUCGUGACAAAUUUUAGCACCAAAUCAGUUCAUGAUAUGCCAAACUUGAGGAAAUCACCAGAAUUUCAUGACCAAUUUCACCACCAAAGCAAGUUCAUCACAAGCCGAACAUAGAGGAAACUAACAGAGUUCAUGACAGACUUCACCGCCAGACCACUACCUAGUCGAACUCGAUCCAAGACGCUCAACGAAGCAAAACAAGGAAGAAAGACACCAAAACAUGACCACAUCAACAAGGCGUCCUCUAUGAGCAGUGGAACAAGGAGGACUACUCGACCUUGACGUGGAAGACGUCCUUGCGCUCCUCCUCCAGCUUGAGCAGGGUGANNCCAAGACGCUCAACGAAACAAAACAAGGAAGAAAGACACCAAAACAUGACCAAGGCGUCUCUCAGACUCUCCUCCAUGAGCAGUACCACCACCAGGACUACUCGACCUUGACGUGGAAGACGUCCUUGCGCUCCUCCUCCUUCAGCUUGAGCAGGGUGACCCAGAGCAUGCCAUUCUUCAUCUCGGCCUUGAUCUUGUCCAUCUUGUAGGCGUCAGCGGGGAUCUCGAUGCGGUGGUUGUACCUCGGCACCGCGAAGUCGUCGUCGCCGUCCCAGGGCCGCUUCUCGCCCUCGCCCUUGAUCACCAGGAUGUUCUUGUCCGCGCGCACCUGGACGUGCUCCUUGGUCAGCCCCGGCAUCGGCACCUCGAGGUACACUGCGCCGUCGUCCUCCUUGGCCACCCAGCGCCUGAGCCGCGACGCCCCAGCAGUGGAGGAGAGGCCGGUCUGAGUUGCGACGCCCUCCAUCAGAGACAGCAGACGGGCCAUGCUGGUCGGCGCGCCGAGCGGGUCGAGCACGUCUGCAGAAUCAACAUCGAGGAGGGCAAAAGCAGAUGAGAACACUGCCUCGCGAUGUUUAAGAACGAACGCAAAGAAACGGCAGAGCAGAGGUCACAGGCGAGGAAGACAUACCCUGCGAGAAGAAGCUGGGGAUGACGAGGUCGCGGCCGCUGUAGUCGUCGGCGGCGGCGUAGCGGCUAAGCUCCUUGCCCUGGGUGCCGUACGGGCGGUGGUCAGCGGUGACGGCGGGGAAUGGGAGCGCGCAGAAGGCCACGGGAGCGCCGGACUUGAGGAGGCUGGCCGGCGUGGCACCCUUGCAAGCGACUGCGGAAGCCAUGGUCUCUCUCUUUGCUCUCUUCUCUCUCCCUCUUCUUUCUCUCUCUGCUGUGAUGAUUUUGGAUUCUUGUGGUUGGCGAGACGGGGUGCGAAAUGGAGGGGGUUUUGUAAGGGAGGAGCGGGAGAGAUUUCUUGGGAGAGGGGAUGGUCAAGUGGGUUUAGAAGGUUCCAGGGAGAUCGGAUGGGGCCUCGAGCCUUCCAGAAAGAUCGGCAGGCCACUGCUUUACGAUUCGUGCUGCCUGAUGUACUACGAUCGGAGGCUAUGGAUGAAGGUGAUUAUUGAUCUGCUGUGGUACGCAACGCAAGAGAAGUUCCCGCGAGAUCGGUUGAGUGAUUUGCUUUCUAAAGCCGGGGGUGUGCGGUGUGCUUGGCGCUUGGCAAUAAAGCAAUCAACGCCAAAAAAAAAAGGUGCAAUAAUUCUUGUAUUAAUCAGGGAUUACAAUCACAGUUUUUGAAUACUUUGAACUGCUUACCACAUGUUCCAUGUGGUGGGAUUACAAUCACUGUUGACAGCGUCCCAAACAUCCUCCGGGACAAACGCAAACCAGCAUACCGCAGUUCGGACAUGAGACCUAUCAAAACCAACGGAUGACGAGAAGAAUUCUGAAUCAACACAGUUUUCUUCAUAAUUAAAAAAGGGCAAAUGUACGCAUUGUGAAAAUUCAGGCAAUUAACCGAACUUUCUUUGAUGUCAAGACAUACAUGGCUUUAUUUUAUCCGCUGUUAUUUAAUACAAUUUCCGUUAAAAUGAUAUAUUUUGUGUGUUUAAAGUGUAGAGUUUAUGACCAUUAUCCCACAACUUGAUGACAUCUAACAUCACACAUUUUGGUGGAUUCGCUACUCAUAAUUUAAGAAAUAAUAAAAUAGAGUGAGGUAGGAACAACCACACAUCUCUUCGGUUAAUCGGACCAAAAAGAUGUGAACAAGGCCUCCCAUUCUUGGCCUGGUUGAUUUAUGUGCUUGCUUGGAAUGGACACUAAACUGAACCGUUUUCACCUCUAAAUAGAUUUUGUGCUAAACACUUGGCUAGAAGAAAAACAAAACAUACGCAUGCGCACUUAAAAAAACAUAUGCAUGCAGAAUUCCGUGGCUCCGUGCACGCACAACGAAACAAAAGGCGUUGGUCAACGUAGUCACAAACGAAGUACCGCUGACGGUUACCAAGGGCUCCUUCGAUCUUGCUAGCGAUGGCGGCGCAUCCCUAGUUUCCUCUGCUACGUUUGAGGACGGCGAUCCCCACGAUCCCGUUCCUCCUUUUUCUCCGCCGCUCCCGCACUCUGCUCUCUCCGACAUCUACGCGCAGUCGUGUGUGGUCGUCCCCAAGAUGGCGGAGGAGGAGGCGAACUAUGGAGUUAUUGUUCCUCGUGGUGCUUCGGCGCCAAGAGGAGAUUUGUCGAUCCGCGUUUUGGAUCAGGCUGGCAAGGGUAAAGCGUUUGUUGCGAAGGAACCUGCAUCAUCUUCUGCAGGGGACAACGCUGCGGCGAUGUUUGGUCGUCUCAACCUCACAACUCAGGAGUCUACGGCGUUUGUUCUCAACGAGGAUGAUGAAGAUUACCCUGGCUGUCCGACAUGGGUGCUAGUUGGAAAGGUUUUGGAUCCUAACACUCUUCAUAUUUCAACGAUCAAGGCUGCUCUUAGACCUGCGUGGGGUAACCCUAGGGGUCUGGAAUUUCAACCGUUGGGAGCAAACAGAUUUCUGGCUGAAUUUGGGAGCAAGGCAGACAAGGAUCGGGUGAGUGAGGGAUCGCCAUGGACGAUUAGCAAGCACCGUAUUUUGUUGAAGGAAUUUGAUCCGUCCCUCAAACCCAGUGAUGUCUGCUUUGAUACUAUCAUGAUAUGGGUUUGUAUUCUGAAUCUCCCUUUUGUACUAGUGAAUGAUGAUCGUGGCAAAGCUUUGGCAUCCACGUUCGGCAAAGUGGAGAGGAUGGAUGUCGAUGACAGAGGGCGUGCAUGGGGUGACUACCUGCGUGUAAGGAUCUCUACAGAUGUCAAUCAACCAUUGAUGCGAUGUGUAUCAGUGUUUUCUCAGAAGCGGAGAGUGACUGAUGUUUACCAGGUGAAGUAUGAGCGACUGCCGUUAUUUUGCUUUUCCUGUGGCUGUGUGGGGCACUCGUCUAUUGUGUGUCCAACGCCAGGGGAACGUGAUGCUGAGGGUCUCCUUCCGUAUCAUAGCUCCAGAAUUUGUGUCCCUGAUGACAAGAAGAAGAAAUAUUCAGGGGCUAAUUUGGGCCAGCAUUCGUAUUCUAAGAAUACCAAACUAGGGUCAAGUGAUGGUGUUAAGGCACCAAAUAAUGCGCCAUCUAGGGCGCGUGGUAAGGAGACUUUGGGUGAGGGUUUUCCAAAUCCGAAACAAAGGAAAGCAAGGGGCCAAUCGUGCAAAGAUCAUUGCAUCUCCGGAUGUGCAUACGCUGGUAGAUGGCUCGGCACGUGCCACGGGUUUAGGGAAGCUAGCUCAAAUUACUGGGCAGAAACAAAAGGUGUAUCAGCCGAAAGUGCAGGUGCAGUAAGAAGUGCAGGAUACUUCCCCGCUACCCAUGAUUCUGGUCAGUAACAAGGGGACACCGAUUGCGUUUCAGACAGACACGGCUGCGGAUGACCAGAUUUCAGCGGUAGAGAAGAAUAAGAAAUAGAGAACUUCAACAACAUCCCGAUCGGCGGAUCAGGCAGAGGCUGCGGUGCAGCCCUGCCAGAUGCAAUGAAUCUAUUACGCUGGAACUGUCGAGGGCUUGGGUCGGACUCGACAGUUGGUGAGCUUCGCUGGUUAGUGAGGUUCUUCCGACCUUCCUUCAUCUUCCUCUUCGAAACGAAGAUGAAGGAUUCCAGGGUUCAAAAUUCCAUGUGGUCUCUCGGAUAUUCUGGUAGCUUUGAUGUUAGCAGUGUUGGUCUCAGUGGUGGAUUAGCUUUGUUUUGGCAACAACCAUAUAUUGUAUCUCUUAAGGGUUUUAACUCUCAUUGCAUUGAUGUGGUUAUAUCUACGGAAGAGUGCAUUCCCUGGCGUGCAAUGUUUGUGUAUGGUGAGCCUGAUCGUGAUUUGUGUCAUGACUUUUGGAAGUUGUUAUCUCGGCUGCGUUCAGAAUGGAGGGAUCCGUGGAUUUGUUGCGAAGAUUUUAACGAGGUUCUAUGCAGUGACGAACAUCUUGGGGCCACCGAACGAUUAGAUGAUCAAAUGUCUUUGUUCCGUGAUUGUUUGGAUGAAUGCACACUCUGGAUCUGGGUUUUACUGGCCCAAAAUUUACAUGGAAUAAUAGACAGGUUGAAGAUGGUGGUGAGAGUCAGGCUUGACACAGCUCUGGCGAAUGGCGAAUUUAUGGAAUUGUUUAACAACUACAGGGUGGAAAAUGUAAUCACUACCACGUCUGACCAUUUUACCAUUGUAGUCAAGCUUUCUACACUGGCUGAGGAGAUGCGGGCAAUGCCGGUGCAACAACAAUUUCGGUUUGAAGCGGCUUGGCUUAGAGCAUGAUGACCCACAAGUAUAGGGGAUCAAUUGUAGUCCUUUCGAUAAGUAAGAGUGUUGAACCCAACGAGGAGCAGAAGGAUCUGACAAGUGGUUUUCAGCAAGGAAAAAUCUGCAGGCACUGAAAUUGUCGGUAACAAGUGAUUGUGUGGUGAGAUGAUUCGUAGCAAGCAACAAGUAACAAAAGUAGAAACGGUGUAGAAAAGUGGCCCAAUCCCUUUUGUAGCAAGGGACAAGCCUGGACAAAAUCUUAUAGGAGGAAAAACGCUCCCGAGGACACACGGGAAUUUCUGUCAUGCUAGUUUCAUCAUGUUCAUAUGACUCGCGUUCGUUACUUUGAUAGUUUGAUAUGUGGGUGGACCGGCGCUUGGGUACUUUCCUUACUUGGACAAGCAUCCCACUUAUGAUUAACCCCUCUCGCAAGCAUCCGCAACUACGAAAGAAGAAUUAAGACACAGUCUAACCAUAGCAUUAAACUAGUGGAUCCAAAUCAGCCCCUCACGAAGCAACGCAUAAACUAGGGUUUAAGCUUCUGUCACUCUAGCAACCCAUCAUCUACUUACUACUUCCCAAUGCCUUCCUCUAGGCCCAAAUAAUGGUGAAGUGUUAUGUAGUCGACGUUCACAUAACACCACUAGAGGAAAACAACAUACAACAUAUCAAACUACCGAACGAAUACCAAAUUCACAUGACUACUAUUAGCAUGACUUAUCCCAUGUCCUCAGGAACAAAAGUAACUACUCACAAAGCAUAAUCAUAAUCAUGAUCAGAGAGGUAAUGAGUAGCAUCAAGGAUCUGAACAUAAACUCUUCCACCAAAUAAUCCAACUAGCAUCAACUACAAAGAGUAAUCAACACUACUAGCAACCUUACAAGUACCAAUCGGAGUCGCAAGACGGAGAUUGGUUACAAGUGAUGAACUAGGGUUUGGAGAUGAGAUGGUGCUGAUGAAGAUGUUGAUGGUGACGAGUCCCCUCUGAUGAGAGGAGUGUUGGUGAUGACGAUGGUGACGAUUUCCCCCUCCGGGAGUGAAGUUUCCCCGACAGGAUCGUCCUGCCGGAGCUCUAGAUUGGUUCUGCUCAAGUUCCGCCUCGUGGCGGCGGUGAAACCACGAAAAAGCUCCUAUGUGAUUUUUUUCUGGAUGAAACCCUCCAUAUAGCAAAAGAGGGGGGCAGUGGGCUAGUAGGCUGCCCACAAGCCCCCAUGGCGCGGCCUGGGGGGGUGGCCGCGCCGUGCAGGCUUGUGGGCACCCCCUGGUGCCCCUCUCGCACUUCUUCGGCCCAGUAUUUUUGAUAAAUUGGGAAAAAAUUCUCGUUGAUUUUCACGGCAUUUGGAGUUGCGCAGAAUAGGUAUCUCAACUUUGCUCCACUUUCAGGCCAGAAUUCCAGUUGCCGGUAUUCUCCCUCUUCAUGUAAACCUUGCAAAAUAAGAGAGAAAAGGCAUAAGAAUAGUACCGUGAAGUGAAAUAACAGCCAAAGAAGCGAUAAAUAUCAACAUGAAAACAUGAUGCAAAAUGGACGUAUCAACUCCCCCAAGCUUAGACCUCGCUUGUCCUCAAGCGAAAGCCUAGCUCACUAAAUAUGUCCACAAGUUUAGGGAGAGAGGUGUCGACAAAACAAGAUACGAACAUGCAUGCAUCAUGAUCAAGAUCAGAACAGCAAUACCAACAUAUAAUCUCUCAUGCUAAAGUGAUAAUUCCUUCACAAAGUAAAGCAUGGAUCAAGAACCUUACCGAGAAGUAACAACCGAUAGCCUUUAGUCAUUGAAGCAAUUGCAAUUUAUCACAACAUGAGAAAGAGUCAAAUAAGAGAUGUAAAGCAAAUCCACAUACUCAAUCAUUCUUUCAUUUUCUACAAUUGCUACAACUCACGUGGUACUCAUGAGAUCAAAGUUUUAGUUGAACACAGAGAAAGAUAGGGGCUUAUAGUUUUGCCUCCCAAGUGCUUACCUCAAGGGUAAUGUCAACAAUAGUAAUUAAUGAAUGCCUACCUCCAAGUUGACAUAUGAAUAUAGAUCUUUCCCAAGCAUAUGACGCUAGCCAAGAUAAGGCGAAAUAAGGAAUUGGUGAAGAUCACCAUGACUCUUUCAAGGGAAAAAAGUAAAGGUACAAGAUAGGCCCUUCGCAGAGGGAAGCAGAGGUUGUCAUGCGCUUUUGAGGUUUGGAUGCGUGUCCUCUUAGUGCGGAGGAACGUCACUUUAUAUUGCCUCCUAUGAUAAAGAACUUUAUUAUGAAGUCUAUCGCUUUUAUGUCUUCCUCAUCACAGGUUCGUAUAAAGCUUAUUUUCCACGCACUAAUAGAUCAUACAUAUUAGAGAGAAAUUUUUAUUGCUUGCACCGACAACUUACUUGAGGGAUAUUAUUCAAUCCAUAGGUAGGUAUGGUGGACACUCAUGGCAAAACUGGGGUUGAUGGUUUAUGGAUGCACAAGUAGUAUCUCUACUUGGUGCGGGAGUUUUGGCUACUAUGAGGUGGAAGCAAUCGUCACAUGCUAAGGGAUCUCUAAUCAUAUAACAUUGUUCAGAGCCAAGCAAACACAAUUCAUUAUGUUGUCUUCCUUGUCCAAUAUCUACUUUUAGGCAUGUAAUAGCUUAGUGAGUGUUCACAAUCAUAGAUGGUGUCAGAGAUGAUAUAUUUAUAUGUGAACCUCUCCUUCUUUAUCACUUCCUAUUAAUUGCAACAAUGACCAAGGUCUACGUUUGCCUACCCUCAACAAGUUUCAAUCCUCAUUCUUUUUAUAUGUGAAGCCAUCACUUCCCAUAAGAUCAUUACAUGAUCUUUCAUGCUUUUGUUCUAUUCUCACUCUUUUGAUCAUGGCAAGAGGCAAAGCCUUUCAACUAAGACACUGGCUCACGAGAAAGAAUACAUCGGGGGUGACACAAAGCAAAACUCAAGACUAAAACACUAAGACUUUUAAACUACUAGAGAAAAAGAAAACUGAAAAGGAAAACUAAAACAAAGGUAAAGGCAAAAGAUGUGAUGGUGAUACGAUACCGGGGCAACUCCCCCAAGCUUGGCACAAGCCAAGGGGAUUGCCCAUACCAAUGCUCAGUUGUCUUACUUUGGUGGUGAUGGUGGUGUUGUUGCAACAUGAGUUUGAUCCUCCGUCUUCCAAGGCAUAGGUGCUCCAUCAUGGAAAGAUGAACGAGUCUCCGGAAACCUCAAAUCUGCAGCCAACCGUAUUGAUUUAAAUCUAUACUCAUACUCACAGUUUUGGUUCCGCAGGUCAUAGAUCUGGCCCUGGAGUUGAUCAAUCAUGUCAUAGAGCCUGCAGAGAUGCUUCCCAAUGUCAUUGGCAUCAAUCAUGUGCUUGUUGGUGAACUCCGUGAUCAUCAUGUGGUUGGCGUUGAGUCGACGCUCCACCAUCCCUUGGCACUUGAAGACUUGUUGCUCCAUUACUUCGAGCCUCGUCUCCAUGCUUCCGGUCUUCUUAGGCCCCUCAACAUCAUGGAUGUGCAACAUCCUCUCACGCAUCUCGAUAGAUUGAGGGUGUUGCAGCACUUCCGUGAGGUAGGGAUUGAUGACCUUCUCGAAGAUCUUGUCCUUCGGAGCUUUUGGGGAAGUCAUAGCGAUCUAGAUCUGCAACAGAAGCAGGCUCGAAACAAAAAACAGAGGAAAUCUGCGUGAUGCAGGGGUCAGACCAAACGGGAGUAUAUAUAAUGAUUUUUUCCAGACCAGAAGGAGUACCCCGCAUGAAAACGGAGUCCGGGAGGCGCACGAGGUGGCCACAAGCCCUCACGGCGCGGCCAGGGGGUGGGCCCGCGCCGUGCAGGCUUGUUGCCUCCUCGCGCACUUUCCGGACUACUUCCAAUUUUUGUAUUUUUUCAAAUAUUCCAAACGGAGAAAAUUUCCUAUUGGAAAAGUUUUGGACUCUGUUUUCCUACCGAAUCACAUACCUCUUCGUUUUCGGAGUCUGAAACAGGCUGAUAAAUAUCCCUUAGGUAUUCUUCCGGUGUUAUGGUAUUGAUAAUAUUGCUUUCAACAUUUAUGGGAGUACCUGAGAUAUAAUGCUUGAUUCUCUGCCCAUUUACCACUCUCGGACAAUUACCUUCCGUUUUGUUGAUCUUGAUAGCACCGGAACGAUAUACUUCCUCAACAACAUUGGGACCUUCCCAUUUAGAGAGAAGCUUGCCUGCAAAGAAUCUUAAACGAGAGUUAUAUAGCAAGACAUAAUCACCUACAUUGAACUCACGCUUUUGUAUCCUCUUAUCAUGCCACCUCUUAACCUUCUCUUUGAACAACUUGGCAUUCUCAUAUGCCUGAGUUCUCCACUCAUCAAGCGAGCUAAUAUCAAAUAACCUCUUCUCACCGGCAAGUUUGAAAUCAAAGUUGAGCUCUUUUAUUGCCUAAUAAGCUUUAUGCUCUAGCUCAAGAGGUAAGUGACAUGCUUUCCCGUACACCAUUUUGUACGGAGACAUGCCCAUGGGAUUCUUAUAGGUAGUUCUAUAAGCCCACAGUGCAUCAUCGAGCUUCCUAGACCAAUUCUUUCUAGACCUGUUUACAGUCUUUCGCAGAAUUAGCUUAAUCUCUCUAUUGCUUAGCUCUACUUGACCACUGGAGUGAGGGUGAUAGGGAGACGCAAUUCUAUGGUUGACAUCGUACUUAGCGAGCGUUUUACGGAAAGCACCAUGAAUGAAGUGUGAACCACCGUCGGUCAUUAGAUAUCUAGGGACUCCAAAUCUAGGGAAGAUAACUUCUUUCAGCAUCUUGAUAGAGGUGUUGUGAUCAGCACUACUAGUGGGGAUAGCUUCUACCCACUUAGUGACAUAAUCAACAGCAACUAAGAUGUGAGUAUACCCAUUGGAUUUUGGAAAAGGUCCCAUAUAAUCAAAGCCCCAGACAUCAAAUGGUUCUAUGACAAGUGAAUAGUUCAUAGCCAUUUCCUGACGCUUGCUAAUAUUACCUAUUCCUUGACAUUCGUCGCAAGACAAGACAAACUUACGGGCAUCCUUGAAGAGAGUGGGCCAAUAGAAACCUGAUUGCAAUACCUUGUGUGCACUUCUAUCUCCCGCAUGGUGUCCUCCGUAGGCCUCGGAGUGACACUUCUAUAGGAUCUGUCCAUGUUCAUGUUCACGUACACAACGUCUAAUAACACCAUCUACUCCUUCCUUAUAAAGGUGAGGAUAAUCCCAAAAGUAAUGUCUCAAGUCAAAGAAGAAUUUCUUCUUUUGCUGGUACGUGAAACUAGGUGGUAUGUAUUUGGCAACGAUAUAGUUUGCAUAAUCGGCAUACCACGAUGCACUAGGUGAAGCAUUGAUGACAUUCAGUUGCUCAUCAGGAAAGCUGUCAUCAAUAGGUUGUGGUCAUCAAGAACGUUCUCCAACCUAGACAAGUUAUCUGCUACUGGGUUAUCGGCACCCUUUCUGUCGACAAUGUGCAAAUCAAAUUCUUGUAGCAAGAGAACCCAUCUGAUAAGUCUAGGUUUAGCGUCCUUAUUCUCCAUGAGGUACUUAAUAGCAGCAUGAUCAGUGUGAAUAAUGACUUUGGAAUCAACUAUGUAAGACCUGAACUUUUCACAUGCAAACACGACUGCUAAAAAUUCCUUCUCCGUAGUGGCAUAGUUUCUUUGGGCACUGUCUAGAGUUUUACUAGCAUAGUGAAUAACAUUCAACUUCUUAUCAACUCUUUGCCCUAGAACAACACCAACAGCAUAAUCACUAGCGUCACACAUGAUCUCAAAAGGUAAGUUCCAAUCAGGUGGUUGAACAAUAGGUGCAGUUAUCAAAGCCCUCUUAAGUAUUUCGAAGGCUUCCUCAUAAUCAUCGUCAAAAACAAAAGGAAUAUCCUUUUGUAAGAGAUUGGUAAGAGGCCUAGAAAUCUUAGAGAAGUCUUUAAUGAACCUUCUAUAGAAACCAGCAUGAUCGAGGAAACUUCUUAUACCUUUGAUAUCUGUGGGGUAUGGCAUUUUCUAGAUUGCAUCAACCUUAGCCUUAUCGACUUAAAUACCUCUUUCAGAAAUUUUAUGUCCUAAGACGAUGCCUUCAUUAACCAUAAAGUGGCACUUCUCCCAAUUCAAUACAAGAUUGGUGUCUUUACAUCUUUGCAAGACUCGAUCAAGGUUGCUGAGACAAUCAUCAAAGGAAGACACGUAAACGGAAAAGUCAUCCAUGAAAACCUCGACAAUCUUUUCACAAAAGUCAGAGAAUAUAGCCAUCAUACAUCUUUGAAAGGUGGCAUGUUCAUUACAUAAGCCACAAGGCAUACGUCUAUAAGCAAAGUUACCGAAAGGACAGGUGAAAGUGGUUUUCUCCUGAUCAGAUUGUGCAACUCGUAUUUGGGAGAAACCAGAAUAACCGUCUAGAAAGCAGAAGUGUGUGUGUUUGGACAGCCUUUCGAGCAUUUGGUCGAUAAAAGGCACAGGGUAAUGAUCUUUCCUAGUGGCCUUAUUCAAUUUCCUAAAAUCAAUCACCAUCCUAUAGCCAGUAAUAAUCCUGCGUGGGAUCAAUUCAUCCUUAUCAUUAGGGACAACGGUAAUGCCUCCCUUCUUAGGGACGCAAUGCACCGGACUCACCCAAUCGCUAUGAGCAACAGGAUAGAUAAUGCCUGCUUCCAGGAGCUUUAGUAUUUCUUUUCUUACUACCUCUUUCAUCUUAGGAUUCAAUCUCCUCUGAUGAUCAGCAACUAGUUUGAAGUCAGGAUCAGUUUUAAUCUUGUGUUAGCAUAGGGUAGGACUAAUGCCCUUAAGAUCAUCAAGAGUAUAUCCAAUAGCAGCACGGUGCUUUCUCAGAGUUUUUAGUAACUUCUUUUCUUCCCGCUUUGAGAGGCUAGCACUAAUAAUGACAGGAUAUAUCCCUUUUUCAUCAAGAGAGGCAUACUUAAGUGUAUCAGGCAACUAUUUAAGCUCGAACACAGGACCCUUUGGUGGGGGUGGAUCCCCAAGCAGUUCAACAGGCAAGUUAUUCUUAAGGAUAGGAUAUUGUUCUAAGAGAACUCUAUCUAUCUCAUCCCUUUCAUCCAUAUGCAUAUCAUUUUCAUGCUCAAGCAAGUAUUGCUCUAAGGGAUUAGUAGGAGGCACGACAAUAGAGGCUAGGGCAAUAGUUUCAUCCUUACUAGGCAACUCCUUUUCAUGAGGUUGUCUACCAAACUUAGAGAAAUUGAACUCAUGUGACACACCUUCAAAGCCAACUGUGGCAGUUUGCUUCUCACAAUCAAUAUGAGCAUUGACGGUAUUGAGAAAAGGUCUACCAAAUAUGAUGGGACAAAAGCUAUCUUGUGCGGUAGCAAGAACGAGGAAAUCAGCAGGAUACUUCGUUUUACCGCACAAGACUUCAACAUCCCUAACAAUUCCCACAGGGCAGAUAGUAUCUCUAUUGGCAAGCUGAAUAGUGACAUCAAUGGGUUCUAUCUCAACAGGUGCAAUCUCAUCUUUGAUUUCAUCGUAUAAGGAUUGAGGUAUUGCACUAACACUAGCACCCACGUCACAUAAGACAUGAUAACAAUGAUCUCCUAUCUUAACAGAAACCACAGGCAUGCCAACAACAGGCCUGUGUUUAUCUCUAGCGUGAGGUUUAGCAAUUCUAGCAGCAUCUUCACAGAAGUGAAUAUUACGUCCCUCAACUUCUUCAGACAGAAGAUCUUUGAUAAUAGCAAUGCUAGGUUCAACUCUAAUUUGCUCAGCGGGCGUAGGUGUUCUAAUGUAGCCUCUACGUAUGACAGUUGAAGCUUUAGAAUGAUCCUUUAUCCUAACAGGGAAAGGUGGUUUCUCAAUGUAAGCACUAGGAACCACAUGAUCAUUAUAGGCAAUGACUUUCUCUGCAACUGGAGUGGGUUUAACUACAUUGACUUCUAAAGGAGGAUGAAAUUUAAACCACUUCUCUUUGGGGAGAUCAAUAUGGGCAGCAAAGGAUUCACACAAUGAAGCUACUAUCUCAGAGUCAAGUCCAUACUUAGCGCUAAAGUCACAAAAAGUAUUUGUCUCAACAAAGGAUUUAACGCAAUCAAAAGUGAAAUUCAUACCUGACUCCCUACCUUCUUCAAGCUCCCAAUCUUCAGAGUUGCGUUUAAUUCUCUCCAAUAAAUUCCAUUUGAAGUCAAUAUCUCUCUUCAUAAAAGAACCGGUACAAGAAGUGUCAAGCAUGGUGCGAUCAUCAUGAGAAAGCCGAGCAUAGAAGUUCUGAAUGAUAACUUCUCUCGAGAGCUCAUGAUUGGGGCAUGAAUAUAGCAUUGAUUUAAGCCUCCCCAGAGCUUGAUCCAUGCUUUCUCUGUCACGAGGCCAAAAAUUGUAAAUAUAAUUCUGAUCACGAUGUACUAAAUCCAUAGGAUAAAACUUUUGAUGAAAUUCCAAUUUCAACCGAUUGUAGUCCCAUGAUCCAGUAUCAUCACAUAGCCUAUACCAUGUCAACGCCUUAUCCUUCAAAGAUAAAGGAAAGACCUUCUUCUUGACCUCAUCCUCGGGCACACCCUCAAGCUUAAAUAAACCACAAACUUCAUCUACAUAUAUUAGAUGCAAGUCUGGAUGUGAUGUUCCAUCUCCUGUAAAAGGAUUAGCCAGCAGUUUCUCAAGCAUACCCGAAGGAAGUUCAAAGCAAAUAUUUUCAGUAGGUGCAGCAGGUUGAGGAGCAACUCUCUGUGCUUCCGUUCGAGGUGAAGAUACCCCCGAACAAUCCCCUCAAAGGAUUAAUAUCCAUAGUGACAAGUGACAACAAAUUUCAGUACACUAUAUGAAUGUUUCCUUACCAAGUUCCACUUACCAAAGGCGCUUCACUCCCUGGCAACGGCGCCAGAAAAGAAUCUUGAUGACCCACAAGUAUAGGGGAUCAAUUGUAGUCCUUUCGAUAAGUAAGAGUGUCGAACCCAACGAGGAGCAGAAGGAUCUGACAAGUGGUUUUCAGCAAGGAAAAAUCUGCACGCACUGAAAUUGUCGGUAACAAGUGAUUGUGUGAUGAGAUGAUUCGUAGCAAGCAAAAAAGUAACAAAAGUAGCAACGGUGCAGCAAAGUGGCCCAAUCCCUUUUGUAGCAAGGGACAAGCCUGGACAAAGUCUUAUAGGAGGAAAAACGCUCCCGAGGACACACGGGAAUUUCUGUCAUGCUAGUUUCAUCAUGUUCAUAUGAUUCGCGUUCGUUACUUUGAUAGUUUAAUAUGUGGGUGGACCGGCGCUUGGGUACUGCCCUUACUUGGACAAGCAUCCCACUUAUGAUAAAUUAGGAAUUUUCACGGCAUUUGGAGUUGCGCAGAAUAGGUAUUUCAACUUUGGCCCAGUACCAGGCCAGAAUUCCAGUUGCCGGUAUUCUCCCUCUGCAUGUAAACCUUGCAAAAUAAGAGAUAAAAGGCAUAAGAAUAGUACCGUGAAGUGAAAUAACGGCCAAAGAAGCGAUAAAUAUCAACAUGAAAACAUGAUGCAAAAUGGACGUAUCAGAGCACCAAAUUAUCGGGAAGUAAUGGAAAAGGCUUGGGUAGAAGGGCAGGACAGCUCUAUGUCUCUGUAGUCCAGAUGUGAUAAACUACGGCGUCUCUCCGGUUCUCUUAAGAGGUGGAGUCAUGAUUCUUUUGGUUCUGUUCAUAAAGGAAUUCNNNNNNNNNNNNNNNNNNNNNNNNNNNNNNNNNNNNNNNNNNNNNNNNNNNNNNNNNNNNNNNNNNNNNNNNNNNNNNNNNNNNNNNNNNNNNNNNNNNNGUAGGCUUGUGGAGCCCACUACGCUCCACCGCCUCCAAAUCCAGCUCUAUUUAGUCCGUCUCGCCCGGAAAAAAAAAUCAAGGAGAAGAUUUCAUCGCGUUUUACGAUACGGAGGCACCGCCACCUCCUGUUCUUCAUCUGGAGGGCAGAUCCGGAGUCCGUUUUGGGCUCCGGAGAGGGGAAAUCGUCGCCAUCCUCAUCAUCAACCUUCCUUCAUCGCCAAUUCCAUGAUGCUCUUCAUCGUUCGUGAGUAAUCUCAUCGUAGGCUUGCUAGACGGUGAUGGGUUGGAUGAUAUCUAUCAUGUAAUCGAGUUAGUUUUGACGGGGAUUGAUCCCUAGUAUCCACUAUGUUCUGAGAUUGAUGUUGCUACUACUUUGCCAUGAUUAAUGCUUGUCACUAGGGCCCGAGUGCCAUGAUUUCAGAUUUGAACCUAUUAUGUUGUCGCCAAUAGAUGUGUGUUCUUGAUCUUAUCUUGCAAGUUGUAGUCACCUACUAUGUGUUAUGACCCGGCAACCCCGAAGUGACAAUAGCCGGAACCACUCCCGGAGAUGACCAUAGUAUGAGGAGUUCAUGUAUUCACCAAGUGUUAAUGUGUUGGUCCGGUUCUUUAUUAAAAGGAGAACCUUAAUAUCCCGUAGUUUCCAUUAGGACCCCGCUGCCACGGGAGGGAUGGACAAUAGAUGUCAUGCAAGUUCUUUUCCCUAAGCACGUAUGACUACAUACGGAAUACAUGCCUACAUUAGAUUGACGAACUGGAGCUAGUUACAUAUCUCUCCGUGUUAUAACUGUUGGAUGAUGAAUAACAUCCGGCAUAAUCAUCCAUCACCGAUCCAAUGCCUACGAGUCUUUUCCUACUGGUCCUUAAAACGUUACUCUGAUGCUACUGUUACUUUGCUGCUACUGCUGUCACUUUGCUGCUACUGGUUACUGUUGCUAUUUCUGGUAUCAUACUACCUUGCUACUGAUUCUUUGUUGCAGAUACUAAAUCUUUCAGGUGUGGUUGAAUUGACAACUCAACUGCUAAUACUUGAGAAUAUUCUUUGGCUUCCCCUUGAGUCGAAUCAAUAAAUUUGGGUUGAAUACUCUACCCUCGAAAACUGUUGCGAUCCCCUAUACUUGUGGGUUAUCAAGACCAUUUUCUGGCGCCGUUGCCGGGGAGGCACAGCUAUAUUCUCUGAGUCACUUGGGAUUUAUGUCUGCUGGUCACUAUGAGGAAUCCAAUAGAUCCAAGAACUAAAGUCUUACCCUCAACUACGAGGACAGGUAAGCAACUGCCAUCUAGCUCUGCACUUGAUUCACCUUUAGUUAUGAGUAAGUUUGCGGCACCAUCUCGAGCUAGAAAUCUUGAUAUGUCGCAUGUGCUUGAUGAUGCUACUUCUUCUGCCCAUGAUGCUUAUGAUGAUGCUAUGCUUGAUACCGCUUUGCCUGAUGAUGCUAUGCUUGAUACUGCUUUACCACUAGGUGCAUUCCUUGAUGCACAAAUUGCUAGAGUUGCUGCUAGAUGUGAUGAUACUUCUGAAACUACUGAGAUUAUUGAAGUAGAACCUGCUAUUUUGCCUGCUAGAACUAGCUCUUCUAGAUAUGAAUUGCCUGGUAUGCCUGAGUGUUAUGUUAUGGAGGGAGAGAUAGCUGAGGACUUUCUUGCUUGUAAGGAUAGCUAUGAUGUUGAGAAAUUACUGCACAAGUGGAAAGAAAAAUCUUUGAACGCUAGGAUGAAAUACGACCCGAAGUUUGCUACUUCGCCUAUCUUUGUGACCGAUAAGGAUUAUGAAUUCUGUGUCGACCCUGAGUUAAUCACUCUGGUCGAAUCUGAUCCUUUUCACGGUUAUGAGUCUGAAACGGUUAUAGCCCAUCUUACCAAACUGCACGAUAUAGCCACCCUAUUCACUAGUGAGGAAAAGAUCCGCCACUACUAUAUCCUUAAGUUGUUUCCUUUCUCGCUAAAGGAUGAUGCUAAGACCUGGUUCACUUCUCUUGCUCCUGGUUGUGUGCGUAGCCCCCAGGAUAUGGUCUACUACUUCUCUAAAAAAUAUUUCCCUGCCCAUAAGAAGCAAGUUGCCUUGGAGGAAAUAUACAACUUUGCACAAGUUGAACAAGAGAGUUUCCCACAAGCUUGGGGGAGGCUCGUCCAGCUGCUGAAUGCUUUGCCUGAUCACCCUCUUGAGAAGAAUGAAAUACUUGAUAUCAUCUAUAAUGGACUUACCGAUGCUUCCAAAGACCACCUAGAUAGUUGUGCCGGUUGUGUUUUUAGGGAACAAACCGUAGAACAAGCUGAGAUCCUAUUGAAUAACAUCUUGUGCAAUGAGAAUGCUUGGACUAUUCCCGAACCACCUCUGAAGCCAACUCCGAAGAAAAGAGGUAUUCUAUUCCUCAGUCCUGAAGAUAUGCAAGAAGCUAAGAAAUCUAUGAAAUAGAAAGGCAUUAAAUCUGAAGAUGUCAAAAAUCUACCACCUAUCGAAGAGAUCUAUGGUCUUGAUAACCCGAUACAGGUAGUAGAAGUAAAUUCUCUUCAGAGAUUUGGUGAGAGUGAUAUUCCUUUUGAUAAACCUGCUAGCUUAUGCCUGGAUGAAUUUGAUAACUUUGUUGCAAAACAACACAAAGUUUCAAUGAUUAUGUUAGCAGACAAUUGGAACAGAAUGCUCGUAUGCUUAGUCAUUUAAGUGCUUGUGUGGACAGAAAUGUCAAUGAUCUUAAACUUCUGAGUAAACAUGCCUCUAUGGUUACUACUCAGGUAGAACAAGUACUUAAAGCCCAAAAUGACUUGCUCAAUGAGUUGAAUGACAAUUCUGUCAGAGUCGUCACUAGAGGCGGUAGAAUGACCCAGGAACCUUUGUAUCCUAAGGGUUGAACAAGAUUCUCAAGGAGUUAGCGCUAAUGCACCUAGUCAUCCUAGGAAGAAGAAGAAAGAUGAUAGGGAUUUGCACGCUAGCAACCCUGUUGCUGCUACACCUGAGAGUCCAAAAGAUGUCUCUGUUUCUGAUGCCGAGACACAAUAUGGUGAUGAACAUGAGCCUAAUGAUAAUAUCAAUAGUGAUGUUCAUGUUGAUGAUCAACCUAGCAAUGAUAAGGAUGUGGAGAUUGAACCUGUUGAUCUUGAUAACCCACAGCCUAAGAAUAGAAGAUACGAUAAGAAUGACUUCACUGCUAGGAAGCAUGGUAAAGAAAGGGAACCAUGGGUUCAGAAACCCAUGCCCUUUCCUCCCAAACCAUCCAAGAAAAAGGAUGAUGAGGAUUUUGAGCGAUUUGUUGAAAUGAUUAGACCUGUCUUUCUGCAAAUGUGUUUGACAGAUAUGCUCAAAAUAUCUCCGUAUGCUAAGGACAUGAAGGAUAUUGUGACUAAUAAGAGGAGGAUACCUGAGCUUGAGAUUUCCACCAUGCUUGCUAAUUAUACCUUCAAGGGUGGAACUCCUAAGAAACUAGGUGGUCCCGGUGUGCCCACUAUACCUUGCUCCAUUAAAGGUAACUAUGUUAGAACUGCUUUAUGCGAUCUUGGAGCCGACAAAUCAACUGCUUUCCCUAUCGGCAUUUGCGAGGAUGUGCCUGUUGUGGUUAGCUUAUGAUCUUGCUGAAAUUCUGGAUAUGAGUUAGACAUAGUUGCAACAACAAGAUCAAACAGAGUUCGUAAAAGUUUUUAUUUUGUCUCUUUCAGUUUGUCAACUGAAUUGCUUGAGGACAAGCAAGGCUUUAAGCUUGGGGGAGUUGAUACGUCNNNNNNNNNNNNNNNNNNNNNNNNNNNNNNNNNNNNNNNNNNNNNNNNNNNNNNNNNNNNNNNNNNNNNNNNNNNNNNNNNNNNNNNNNNNNNNNNNNNNNNNNNNNNNNNNNNNNNNNNNNNNNNNNNNNNNNNNNNNNNNNNNNNNNNNNNNNNNNNNNNNNNNNNNNNNNNNNNNNNNNNNNNNNNNNNNNNNNNNNNNNNNNNNNNNNNNNNNNNNNNNNNNNNNNNNNNNNNNNNNNNNNNNNNNNNNNNNNNNNNNNNNNNNNNNNNNNNNNNNNNNNNNNNNNNNNNNNNNNNNNNNNNNNNNNNNNNNNNNNNNNNNNNNNNNNNNNNNNNNNNNNNNNNNNNNNNNNNNNNNNNNNNNNNNNNNNNNNNNNNNNNNNNNNNNNNNNNNNNNNNNNNNNNNNNNNNNNNNNNNNNNNNNNNNNNNNNNNNNCCAGCUCUAUUUAGUCCAUCUCGCCCGGGAAAAAAUCAAGGAGAAGAGUUCAUCGCGUUUUACAAUACGGAGGCGCCGCCACCUCUUGUUCUUCAUCUGGAGGGCAUAUCUGGAGUCCGUUUUAGGCUCCGGAGAGGGGAGAUCAUCUCCAUCGUCAUCAUCAAUCUUCCUUCAUCGCCGAUUCCAUGAUGCUCUUCACCGUUCGCGAGUAAUCUCAUCGUAGGCUUGCUGGACGGUGAUGGGUUGGAUGGGAUCUAUCAUGUAAUCGAGUUAGUUUUGACGGGGAUUGAUCCCUAGUAUCCACUAUGUUCUGAGAUUGAUGUUGCUACUACUUUGCCAUGCUUAAUGCUUGUCACUAGGGCCCGAGUGCCAUGAUUUCAGAUCUGAACCUAUUAUGUUGUCGCCAAUAUAUGUGUGUUCUUGAUUCUAUCUUGCAAGUUGUAGUCACCUACUAUGUGUUAUGACCCGGCAACCCCAGAGUGACAAUAGCCGGAACCACUCCCGGAGAUGACCAUAGUAUGAGGAGUUCAUGUAUUCACCUAGUGUUAAUGCGUUGGUCCGGUUCUUUAUUAAAAGGAGAACCUUAAUAUCCCGUAGUUUCCAUUAGGACCCCGCUGCCACGGGAGAGAUGGACAAUAGAUGCCAUGCAAGUUCUUUUCCCUAAGCACGUAUGACUACAUAUGGAAUACAUGCCUACAUUACAUUGACGAACUGGAGCUAGUUACAUAUCUCUCCGUGUUAUAACUGUUGCAUGAUGAAUAACAUCCGGCAUAAUCAUCCAUCACCGAUCCAAUGCCUAUGAGUCUUUUCCUACUGGUCCUUGCUACGUUACUUUGCUGCUAUUGCUGUCACUGCUGCUACUCUUACUUUGUUGCUACUACUAUCACUUUGCUGCUAUUGGUUACUGUUGCUACUGCUGCUAUCAUACUACCUUGCUACUGAUACUUUGUUGCAGAUAAUAAAUCUUUCAGGUGUGGUUAAAUUGACAACUCAACUGCUAAUACUUGAGAAUAUUCUUUGGCUUCCCCUUGAGUCGAAUCAAUAAAUUUGGGUUGAAUACUCUACCCUCGUAAACUGUUGCGAUCCCCUAUACUUGUGGGUUAUCAGCCGCUGACGACCAGGAGUAGUUUAGGAGGUUCCGAGGCAGGAGGCCUCGCCUCUUUCGAUCGAUGUAUCUUUUGUGCUAGCCUUCUCUAAGGCAAAACUUGUUUCUAUGUGUGUACUCAGAUAUUAUUGCUUCCGCUGACUUGUGUGUUCCUGAGAUUUUGUAUUCGAGCCCUCGAGGCCCAUGGCUAGUAAUAUGAAGUUUGUAUGAGUUUUAUUUAUGUCUAGAGUUGUGUUAUGAUAUCUUUCCGUGAAUACCUAAUCUUGAUCAUACGCAUUUGCGUGUAUGAUUAGCGUAUGAUCAGAUGGGGUGCGUCACAACCUUGCCCAUCCAUCUCGGAGUCUAUGUUGGACCCUGUCGUCUAAACAAGUGUUUAUGACCACACGACCAGAUGACUCUUCAUCCGCCUCCCGAGGAGGUGGAACGACAACACGAAGCAAGCCCCAUAGAGCGUGAUCUUGCGAUAGCUUGCUACGCGAAAGUCACUUUGCGCGUUAAUGAUACCUGCUGGUACACCGCACACCGCUGGCUUUUUUCUAUGAUUCAUGCUAGCUAUGGCUCACAAACAUGUAUAUUUUUUGUAUUGCUUUCUUACUAUCUGGUAUUCUUUUUCAGUCUUUAGUUUGAUGGAUCCCAUAGUACUACUUUUUGUCAAUAUAGUAAUUAUCUCUCUCCCCAGCAAAUCCAUAGACCCUUUUCUUAUCGUAGACAAUUUAAAUUGCUCAUAUCUUCUAAACUAUAAACUUGUUUUAAAAAGUUUUUAUAUAUUUAAAUUGCUAGCGCAAAGACCUUUAGAAUAAGAUCAACCUUGGAUACAUUUUGACUAGUUUGAAAAAGUGAAAUUUGUUAUUCUGAAAUGUCAAAUUAUGAAAUUGAUAUUUGGAAAGGUGGAAGAGUUUAUUUCAACAGAGUGAAAUUCGUUAUUUCAAAAAUGCAUAAUUGAAAUGAUAUAUCUUUUUUGAAACAAGCCAGUGGAAAGUGAACAUGUGAAAUUGAUUUUUUGAAAAUGUGUAACAGUUUAUUGAAAAUAGUGAAACAAGUUUUUACAAAAAUGUGCAAUUGAAAUAGAUUUGAUUUUGUGAAACACGCGAGUGAAAAGUGCAAUCAUAGUCAACAUGUGAAACUACUUAUAUAUAUGAUAAUGUGUAACAGUUUAUUUCAAAUGAGUGCAAUAAGUUAUUUCAAUUUUUAGAAACUGAAAUACUUGUGAUUUUUUUUUAAAGUCAACGGAAAGUGAAUGUAAUAUCAACACGUGAAAUUUAUUUAAAAAAUAUGUAACAAUUUAUUUCAAAAGAGUGAAAUAUGUUUGCGCAAAAAUGUGCAAUCGAAAUAUAUGUGAUUGUUGUGAAACAAUCGAGCGAAAAGUGAAAUGUAAUGUCAACAUGUGAAACGGAUUAUUUGAAAAUGUUUAACGGUUUAUUUCAAAGGAGUGAAUGGUGUUAUUUAAAAAAUGUGCAAUUCAAAUAAAUCUGAUUUUUGUGAAAAAAUGUUAGUGCAAGUGAAAUGUAACUUCUGAAACUGAAAAUAAAAUGCCAUCAACCAAAAACGAAAUAUUUUCUCAUGUAAAUGUAAAAAAAUAAACCAACAAAAACAGAAAACCAUGGUCCAAAUUGCAGACAAAAGAAGAUCGUGCAUGUCAAAUUUGCAUAUUAGUUAAAAAAGACAUACAAGGAAUUUACAUUGCUUUAUAUUUUCAAUUUCAUAAACACAUAGAAAUCACACACUGGAAGUUGGCAUGAUCCAAAAAAUAAACAAUAUUACAAUGCUCUCUUAGUAAUAAAAUGCCAUGUGCGAAAGUGGAAAAUAAAUUCCAAAAUUUUCAUGAAAAUAAUUGAUAAAAAUUCCCAAAGUUUGCCAUGGUAGCACUACAAAAAGACUAAUUUUUCCAUGUCUGGAAUUAAAAAAUGGUACGAUUUGUCAUGGGACCAUGAUAAUUUUUACUAUUUUUUUCCGCACGUACUAAAAAACUUGACAUGUGAAACUUUACAAAAGAAAUGGUUAAAAUUUGCCACAUGAUAAGUUAACUCUUUUCUAAAUCUACCGGAUUUAUUAUUUUUGGCACCUUGUAAAAAUAAAAAAGAAAAUAAAAGAGGGUUUGGGAUUCAAUCACAUGUCUCCCACUUGGAUGCUUUAUAUACUAGCCAGUUCGGUGGGCCCAACGGCUCUCCCUGAUUAGGAUAGUGUUCACGUCGUUUUUAUGUCCAUCUUACGAGUUUUGAAUCUACUGUGGUAAGAGUUCCUGGGCUAAGAUUCAUGCGUCUGAUCUGAUGGCAUAGUAGAAUAUUCGCUGAAACUUGCUACAAAUCUGACGUUUGCCCGAUAUUAUUUUCGAAAAAGGAGUGUAACAUUUGAUUUUGUGGGUCAUUAUACAAAGAUACAUUGUGUAGAUUUAACACGGUUUUAUAGUAUGAUUACUUCAUAUUUAUUUUCAUGUGGUCAUUUCGGACCUAGCUAGGAGCCUUGUGUAAACUGAACAUGCAGAAUUUAGCAAACCAAACCGUGUUAUUAGGUUGACACUGUAUUGGCAUAUGAAAUGCAGCUAUAUACCAAAAUAUAUGGCCGAGGGAAUCAAGUCCACCAAAGCGUACGAUAGGAAUUCUUUGCAAAUGUAGUCCAAGUUUGAAAAGCAAAUCAUUCGUGCCCGACGUAGCUGAGCAGAUCAAAUGUAUUCGUAUACUCCGUAUCAAGCAGCACGAAUCAUAAGGCUGCGGUCUCUCGAUGAUUAUGGAAGGCUCGAGGCCCCAACCGAUCUCUCGGGAAGCUUCUAAACCCAGUUCACCAUCCCCUCCCCCAAGAAAUCUCUCCCGCCCCUCCUUUACAAAACCCCCUCCAUUUCGCAUCCAAAGUCAUCACAGCAGAGAGAGAGAGAAAGAGAAAAGAGAGAAGACAGACAUAGAGAGAGAGACCAUGGCUUCCGCCGUCGCUUGCAAGGGUGCCACGCCGGCCAGCCUCCUCAAGUCCGGCGCUCCCGUGGCCUUCUGCCCCCUCAACACCACCGCCGUCACCGCCGACCACCGCCCGUACAACACCCUGGUCAAGGAGGCCAUCCGCUACGACGACGACGACCGCAACCUCGUCCUCCCCAGCUUCUUCGCGCAGGGUAUGUCUUCCUUGCCUGUGACCUCUCCUCUGCCGUUCUUUUGCGUUCGUUCUUCAUAUCGCGAGGCAGGGUUCUGAUCUGUUUUUGCCGUCCUCGAUGUUGAUUCUGCAGACGUGCUUGACCCGCUCGGCGCGCCGACCAGCAUGGCCCGUCUACUGUCUCUGAUGGAGGGCGUCGCAACUCAGACCGGCCUCUCCUCCACUGCUGGGGCGUCGCGGCUCGGGCGCUGGGUGGCCAAGGAGGAGGACGGCGCGGUGUACCUCGAGGUGCCGAUGCCGGGGCUGACCAAGGAGCACGUCCAGGUGCGCGCGGGCAAGAACAUCCUGGUGAUCAAGGGCGAGGGCGAGAAGCGGCCCUGGGACGGCGACGACGACUUCGCGGUGUCGAGGUACAACCACCGCAUCGAGAUCCCCGCUGACGCCUAAAAGAUGGACAAGAUCAAGGCCGAGAUGAAGAAUGGCAUGCUCUGGGUCACCCUGNNNNNNNNNNNNNNNNNNNNNNNNNNNNNNNNNNNNNNNNNNNNNNNNNNNNNNNNNNNNNNNNNNNNNNNNNNNNNNNNNNNNNNNNNNNNNNNNNNNNNNNNNNNNNNNNNNNNNNNNNNNNNNNNNNNNNNNNNNNNNNNNNNNNNNNNNNNNNNNNNNNNNNNNNNNNNNNNNNNNNNNNNNNNNNNNNNNNNNNNNNNNNNNNNNNNNNNNNNNNNNNNNNNNNNNNNNNNNNNNNNNNNNNNNNNNNNNNNNNNNNNNNNNNNNNNNNNNNNNNNNNNNNNNNNNNNNNNNNNNNNNNNNNNNNNNNNNNNNNNNNNNNNNNNNNNNGCGGUGAAGUCUGUCAUGAACUCUGAUAGUUUCUUCUAUGUUCGGCAUGGGACGAACUUGCUUUGGUGGUGAAAUUGGUCAUGACAUUCUGUUGAUUUCCUCAAGUUGGGCAUAUCAUGAACUGAUUUGGUGCUAAAAUUUGUCAUGAAACCUUGUUGAUCUCCUUAACUUUAGCGUGCUGGACUAAUUUAGUGAUGAAAUUGGUCUUGAUCUUUGUUGAUUGUCUCAAGUUUGGCCUGAUGAACUACUUUGAUUAUCUUAAGCUAGUCGCAUGUCUAUCCUUUCUCGUCCUUGAUCUGUAUUGCUUUUGCUUUAAGCUUUCUGUAAAAAGCUGGGCAGUUAGCCAGUUACUGCUAUUCCUUUAAGCUCUCUGAAACAUCGACUGAUCCCCUCCAGUUUGACGUCAUGGAGUUGGUGAACGGGCAGUUAGCCAGUUACAGAUUGAUAUGAUUUUUUGCUGGCUGUUCCGUGAAUUUUGUAAUUCUUACGUGAACAGUCAAAGGAGAUAGCCGUUUGUUUGUUUAUUAUGUCCUGUCCUGCUUCGUUGAUUUUCUCAAGUUUAAUGUGAUGAACUGAUUUGGUGGUUCCGUGACUCUGUUUACUUCUUGUAUGAACAGUAACCGUUUCAGUUUGUAGUUGCAGCGUUAUCGUGUGAACAGCCAUAUUAAAGCAUCUCUAACAGACACCGUUUCAGCAUGCCCUUCGUAAAAUAAACAUCAAAAUAUGGGUCCACACAAAAUAAAACUGUGGAAUAGACCAGUAAAUGAUUCCGAUCUGUAGUUCUUUUUAAGGGGUACGGUAAACAUUCCUAGCGAACCCGUGAAAAUAAGAAUUUCGAAGCCAACCCGAGAGCGCCCCGCAUAUACAAAAGACCGUUGGCGGGAGUCCAACUGCCAUCGGAACCCUCGUGACUUGGUCCCGGUCGCCACCCUGUUCGUUCCCGUCCGUCGGCCGUCUAUCCCCGACAGUCACCCGUCCAUCCCCGACCGCCACCCGUCCAUCCUAGCCGUCGCACGCCCGUCCUGACCGACGCACGCCUUGUCCGUCUUGACUAGAUUCGGCAACGACGACACGAACUAGCUAGCUAGCUCCUGUAUGGAUUCUGGGAUCGGGGCUAGCUAGCUAGCUAGCUAGCUCCUAGAUGGAUUCCGUGACGGAGGAGCUAGCCAGCUCCUAGAUGGAUUCGCGAUGGAGGAGAUAGCUUAUCUCCUGGAUGGAUUCCGCAACGAGUGCUUCGUGCGAGUCGUUCUAGACGCUGGCGGUUCCAUGUUUGGCUGCUCCGUCUUCUCUUCAUCGAUUUUAUAGGUGCGAAUUUAGUCGAUCAUGGGCACGUGCGAGAGGAAGAAGAAGAUGUGUGGAAAAAAAGAGAAUAUUCGAUUUUAGAGUUUAAGUUUAAGGGGUCUGUUCGGCCGCAGCUGAGACCAACCCUUAAAACGCGUUUUCCGCAAACUGAAAACCGUAUUUUCAGUUUCGCGUUUUAAGGGGUCUGCUAGAGAUGCUCUUAGAUGGGUAUUUGUUUUCUCGCAGGGAGUCGAGGAAGAAUCUCUAGGCGUGACUUAAUUAGAUUUGCUGCAAGAAUAUGACUAUAUAUGCGUUAUUGUUAUACACUCUUGUAAUGCUGCAAGACACCGAAGAUGCUAGUCUUGAUAGGACUAGCCCCUUCUCUCUAUUCUCGCUUUGUUGUAGUCAGUCCAGAUAUAACCCCAUGCCUUUGAUACUGAUGCAUACUUAGCAUAGUUUUGAUGUUAGUCUUGCGAAUACUUUGGAUGAGUACUCACCGUUGCUUUUCUCCCUCUUUUCCCCUUGAUUCGAUUGUCGCGACUAUAUGAUGGAGCCCAGGAGAUGGCAUAUCAUGUCGACGAUGACUACUACCCCAACGGUGCCUAAUAACUACGCGGACGCUGUUGACUGGAGUUAUUGUCGAUGAGUUGCUGUAGACGUAGCCAUGAAUGUCGAUGUCGAGGUAGCCGAUCAUGGUGAUGUAGUUGUGGUCAAGGUAGUCAUGGUCGAUGUGUGAUCGUCGUGGAUGAUGAAGCCGCACAAAGCCGGAUGCGCAAAAAAAUGCGCUAUGAUGGAGCUGCAGACGUGGACGAUGCACCUUGUGGAUGUUAGAGGGUGCCGCCGGCGAUGAGUCCGCCGGUUUUGCAAGGACCGGAGGAAACCCAUCGAGCACACAUUGGUUUUGCCAGAACCGUGAGGCCGUGUAGGGGUUGUCACUAUUGUGACGCCGUGUCGAUGCAGCCGUGCCAUCGUGGAUGACGCGGUCGAUGCCGUCGUCGGAGUUGCGCCUUGCAGAAAAAUCUGUCAGAGGACGCUAGUUGUCCAUCUUGUGGACGAGGGGCGGCGUCAUGUUGACGAAGAUGUUGGUGAAGACCAUGUUGAUGAAGACCUUGGCUAUGAAGCGUCGGCGGUGGCGUCGCAGCAGCGUGUCGACGAUAAUGUGUCGCUUGAAGGCGUCCCUUGUGGCGACCAAGUGUCGAUGUCGUGUCGCGCCGGGGAAAUCGAUGAAGAAUUGCAUCACUUUCCACACCGGCCUGGCAUGUGGAUGAUGCGUGUUGAUGUCGCUUCUCAAAGAUGUACUCGACAAAGACGCGAUGUAGUCGUACAGCUCGGUGUCGCGGCGGCACAAGGUCGGUGGAGAGCACUCGGUGCAGGUGACCCUCCCGGUGUGCCUGCUGUGAGCCGGAUCAAUGAAGAUGUUGAUCAUGCAGCUAGGUUGUCAGGGUCGUUGGCUCGGUGGAGAUGUCGGUGCACGUCAGCAACUCGGUGUAGAUGGCUCGUGGCUGAUGGAGAUGUUCGAUACUGGUCGGCUCGCUGUCGCGGGUCGACGUCAUACGUGGAGCUGGAGUCGACGAAGUUCAGGAGUCUGUCCUACCGUCAUUCAAGUCAUGCAUGCACAUGAUGAAGAGGACUUGGCGUGCGUCGGUGCAGGCGGCUUGUAGCUUGCUGCAGAAGAUCACGUCGGCUUGCAUGCAGUCGACGAAGAUCGGCUGUGCGGCGAAACUGCGAGCCACCGUCCUCACGAGCAUGUGCAUGGAUAGGUUACCCAUGUUUAGGUGCUCAUGCAUGCAGUCCACAUGCGCAUGAUUGUAUCAUAUGAAGAUGACGCACUCGUGUAGAUAGCUACUCCUAGAUGAGGAACGAGAACCCUGCUCCAGGCCUGCUUGUAUGCGUCGAUAUGGUCAUUGCGUGUGUGCAUCUCGCGUGCGUAGAUCCGCCCGAUCGAACACGCGUCGAGUGCAUGCAAUCGCCCCGUCAAGGGCACGCGCUGGUGCGUCGAUCGUUUGCAUCCGUAGAUCGGAUCAGUCACCCCGUUGCGGCGUCGAUCUGCUUGUACACGCCGCCGGAGAUGCAUGAGAAGAGCCGCUGCUUGCAUGGGUGGAUGGAGGCGCAUCGGUGCAGAUCAUAUGCACCCGCUAGAGGGCGUGAGGCGAUCUUGCGUCCGGCGUUGACCGUCCCGCACAUGGCUGGGCAGAUUGUUGAUGUAGAGCCCGUGCGCAAAUGGCUCUGGUCAUUGUCGCGAGCCAGAACGCGUCAUCGUCCCACGUCGGUGCAGCCUUGUGCCCCGUACGUUGCUAUAGUCGUGCGCCCUCCCAGUGUUGAUGCAUCCGUGCGUGGGGCUGGAGGUGCACGCCCACGGAGCCGACGCCUCGGCAGGUAAGACUAGAUGAAGAUCUUGAUGCCGCUGCGAUUUUUUUGUGCUGGUUUUCACCGGAUUUUGGGGAUUUAUCGAGUUUAUUUGGUGGCUAAAGGAAACCUAAUGUACUAGAAUUUCGAAAAUUGGAUCUAAAUUAGUCUAAGGAACCAAUCAAAUCUUUGAUCGAUCGGGUGCCGCACCCCCGAGGAGAGGAGAUUGAUCUCCCCGGGGGCGGCGCGCUGCAAAAGUGGUGGGAAGGCUUAGGAUCGGCGUCGUGAGACUAACCGCUCUGAUGCCAUGUGAAAACUGUAUGAUGGCUAAUGUUUGUUGUUGUUGUGUUGUUCUAACCCUUGUAGGGUAUAUAUAGGAGUACACGAGGGAUAGAGGCUUGGAGUACAAGACAAGUUACAUGUGGUUUAAACUAAUUCUAUCUCUAUCUUCUUAUCUCUAACUUAAACUCAGUUAUACUUCUAACACCUACUACUACGUCGAGGCCGCUGAUACGUCUCCAUCGUAUCUACUUUUCCGNNNNNNNNNNNNNNNNNNNNNNNNNNNNNNNNNNNNNNNNNNNNNNNNNNNNNNNNNNNNNNNNNNNNNNNNNNNNNNNNNNNNNNNNNNNNNNNNNNNNNNNNNNNNNNNNNNNNNNNNNNNNNNNNNNNNNNNNNNNNNNNNNNNNNNNNNNNNNNNNNNNNNNNNNNNNNNNNNNNNNNNNNNNNNNNNNNNNNNNNNNNNNNNNNNNNNNNNNNNNNNNNNNNNNNNNNNNNNNNNNNNNNNNNNNNNNNNNNNNNNNNNNNNNNNNNNNNNNNNNNNNNNNNNNNNNNNNNNNNNNNNNNNNNNNNNNNNNNNNNNNNNNNNNNNNNNNNNNNNNNNNNNNNNNNNNNNNNNNNNNNNNNNNNNNNNNNNNNNNNNNNNNNNNNNNNNNNNNNNNNNNNNNNNNNNNNNNNNNNNNNNNNNNNNNNNNNNNNNNNNNNNNNNNNNNNNNNNNNNNNNNNNNNNNNNNNNNNNNNNNNNNNNNNNNNNNNNNNNNNNNNNNNNNNNNNNNNNNNNNNNNNNNNNNNNNNNNNNNNNNNNNNNNNNNNNNNNNNNNNNNNNNNNNNNNNNNNNNNNNNNNNNNNNNNNNNNNNNNNNNNNNNNNNNNNNNNNNNNNNNNNNNNNNNNNNNNNNNNNNNNNNNNNNNNNNNNNNNNNNNNNNNNNNNNNNNNNNNNNNNNGCAGAUAUGUACCACUUGCAAGCCCUCCUACCACUACCAUCAAAACCUCUGCACUUAGCAUAAACCUUCUUUCUAUCAGUCCAAACUGUCUUGGCAUCAAACUGAUGUCUGACUGCAUAAGUCUUGAAAGACAACCUGAACUCAUCCAUGUUUGGCCACAACUUCCCCACUUGAAUGACAGGGUUUUCUUUGUCAUACACAUGCACUAGCUCUUCAUCAUGUGCAUCAUCUACAUCAUCUGCAGCAUCUUUCAUCAACUGUUCAUCUACAUCACUCAAUUCUCUGUCACCAUUAUCACUUGUAUUAGCUUCAUCCCUCUCCUCCUCAUCUCUGUCAUCGACUGGAAUGCCAAAUAGUUUGGCCAUCUCAGUGUCAGCAAUUGGUGCAAUGACCAAAUCAGUAGGCUCCUCCAACUCAACUGCAUUCCAAUCAACAACAUUAACAUUUCCCUCUUCUGCAUGUGCAUUAGCCCCAUCGACUAUUACUGUUAGAUCCGUAAUAAUGGGAACGAUAUGCCUCUGCGAAGCCCAAUCAUCAUCUGCCUUCUGCAUAGCCAAGUGUGACGGCACAUAAUCUACCUUCAAGUCAAUAUUCAGAUCAACGAGCUCAGCAAAAAAUUCAGCCCUGAGGCUUGCCGAGCCGUCUUGCCUAUCGAUUUCAACAACAAUAUCUUCACCAUCUUCAAUUCUGACAUACUCUUCUUUGAAAUCAUCAUACCGCAAUAGUGAAACCUCUUGCUCUGGACCCCAAAGCACAGUUUCCCCAAUUUUCUCCACCAAUUUCCUCACUGCCUUCUCUUCCAUCGACUGUAUCUCAUUGGGAUCAAUUUUUGCACAAUAAACCUCCCAUUUCACAAUUGUGUCUCUCUGGAUGUUCUCAAUGCUACCAUCAACUAAUUUUGCCGUCGAUGGAAAGAAAUUGAUUGCAAAUUCAAAUGUUUCAGCAACAUUCCCUCUGUUAUAGGCGGGCGGGCAGCGUCAGACAGAUCAAAGAUUGCCUUCAAUCGCACUCACAAAAUGGGCGGAAGGGAGGCACAUUACCUGUUCGAAGCUGAAUCUGGCGGCUCCUUCUCGACCUGACCACGGGCUCCUCUCACCCCGCCGCCCCCUCUCACUUUCUAUCGAUUUCACCAAGCAAAACAGAGAGCUCAGAUCUACAAGGCGGAAGGGAUUGGGACUAGAGUAUCGAAUUUACUCACCACCAUGGCCGGCGCCGGCGCCGAAAGGGGCUACGCUGAGAAAAAGGGCUCCUCCGUCGUAGCCGCCGCCGGAGCUGAAGAUGUUGGGUAGUUUCGGACAGUUCUAGUCGGGCAGUUUCACGAGAUGCGGUGCUAAUUAAUUUGGGCCCAAAUUAGGUAAGACAUGACUUAACGCAAAUUGGACUAAUUGACUAAGUUUUUAUCGCAUGUGUGGCCGUGAGCUAUUUUUUCCCUGCAAACCGUCGCACGAGAGCUAUUUCAUCGAAAGAUGUCGCACUUCUUUCAAUUCUCAGUAAAGACGUCGCACACGAGCUAUUGCCCAUUCUGCAGACGUGCUCGACCCGCUCGGCGCGCCGACCAGCAUGGCCCGUCUACCGUCUCUGAUGGAGGGCGUCGCAACUGAGACCGGCCUCUCCUCCACUGCUGGGGCGUCGCGGCUCGGGCGCUGGGUGGCCAAGGAGGACGACGGCGCGGUGUACCUCGAGAUGCCGAUGCCGGGUCUGACCAAGGAGCACGUCCAGGUGCGCGCGGACAAGAACAUCCUGGUGAUCAAGGGCGAGGGCGAGAAGCAGCCCUUGGACGGCGACGACGACUCCGCGGUGCCGAGGUACAACCGCCGCAUCGAGUUGCCCGCCGACGCCUACAAGAUGGACAAGAUCAAGGCCGAGAUGAAGAACGGCGUGCUCUGGGUCACCCUGCUCAAGCUGAAGGAGGAGGAGCGCAAGGACGUCUUCCACGUCAAGGUCGAGUAAUCCUCCUUGUUCCACGUGGUACUGCUCAUGGAGGAUGGCCGGUGCGCGAGUUUCUGAGAGGCGCCGUGUUGAUGUGGUCAUGUUUGGUGUCUUUCUUCCUUGUUUUGCUUCCUUAGCGUCUUGGAUCGAAGUUCGACUAGGUAGUGGUCUGGCGGUGAAGUCUGUCAUGAACUCUGUUAGUUUGGUCUAUGUUCGGCAUGGGACGAACUUGCUUUGGUGGUGAAAUUCUGUUGAUUUCCUCAAGUUUGGCAUAUCAUGAACUGAUUUGGUGCUAAAAUUUGUCAUGAAACCUUGUUGAUCUCAUUAAGUUCGGCAAUGCUGGCCUAAUUUAGUAGUGAAAUUGAUUGGUGUAUCCUUAUUGAUCUCCUUAAGUUUGGUGUGCUGGACUAAUUUAAUGGUGAACUUCGUUGAUUGUCUCAAGUUUGGCCUGAUGAACUACUUUGAUUGAUCUCCUUUCUCGUCCUUGAUCUGCAUUGCUUUUGCUUUAAGCUUUCUGUAAAAAGCUGGGCAGUUAGACGUCAUGGAGUUACAGCUAUUGCUUUAAGCUCUCUGAAAAAUUGAUUGAUCCCCUCCAGUUUGACGUCAUGGAGUUGGUGAACGGGCAGUUAGCCAGUUACUGAUCUAUGAUAUUUGCUUGCUGUUCCGUGAAUUUUGUGUGCUUAUCCUUGAGUUUAACUUCUUGCAAGAACAGUAACUUCUACUUGAACAAUUCCAUCAGAUGGCCGUUUGUUUGUUUUUGUAAGAACUGUCGUUGAUUUACUCAUGUACGUAUAAUGUGAUGAACUCAUUUGGUGGUUCCCUGGAUGUUUUUUGUUUAUCCUAAGUGUGACAUUAUCAACUGUACUUUGGUGGAGAAGUUGAUCCUGAACUCUGUUGAUUUUUCCAAAAAAAAAAAAACCGUAUGGGAACUAUUUUGCUGGUGAAAAUUCGUCAUUAAACUUUGUUGGUAGUCCGUGGUAAUGAACUGAUUUGGUAGUGAAAUUGAUCGAGUUUUUGUUAAAAAGACUAAAUGCACAAUGAAAUUGCUAGAAAAAACCCCCUUUUCAUAAAAUUGACAAAAAAGUCCUCAUCGGCCGUGGGGGCAGACGCGCCAGCCGAAACGUCGCACCUGCCGCCACGCCCAAAGACAACAACACUGAUCAGUCGGAUACGACGACACUACUGUUCAUCCAAAAAUGAACAGUAUUUUNNNNNNNNNNNNNNNNNNNNNNNNNNNNNNNNNNNNNNNNNNNNNNNNNNNNNNNNNNNNNNNNNNNNNNNNNNNNNNNNNNNNNNNNNNNNNNNNNNNNNNNNNNNNNNNNNNNNNNNNNNNNNNNNNNNNNNNNNNNNNNNNNNNNNNNNNNNNNNNNNNNNNNNNNNNNNNNNNNNNNNNNNNNNNNNNNNNNNNNNNNNAAUCUGAAAUUUUGCACCCAGCUAGAACACUCGAUCAUCUUAGCUCCUAAAAAAAAUUCAGUUUCCUUUAAUUCUUCUGCUAUUUUUGAAUUUCUUUUUCAAGAAUAUUGUUCAUCCCUUGUAAAUCAGGCCUCACAUGAACAAUGAUGUGAGCAGUGCUGAUUUCCGUCGAACCGAUAGUCGAAAAGCCGUCCAUAAUUAACGGACGCUCCACCGCGACCAACAACGGUGCUGCCCCGGCCAGCUCCGAGAUCGCCGCGACCCGCACUGUCGCCGUAGCGAGCCGCACCUUCGCCGGCACGACCGUCGACCAAAAACAAAAUAUUUUCUCAUACUGAAAAAGGCAUAGACAACAUAAUUGAUAAAAUGCAAAAAAUGCCAUGGUAGCCUACCAAUAAAGUAGUUACAUGGCAAAAAUGCCAAAGCCAAAGUAAAUGUAAAAUAAUAAACCAACAAAAAAAUUAUGGUCCAAAUGGUAGAAAAAAGAAGAUCGUGCAUGGCAAGUUUGCAUAUUAAUUAAAAAAAGACAUUGAAGAAUUUUGCCUUGCUUUUAUAUUUUCAAUUUCAUAAACACAUAGAAAUCACACACUGGAAGUUGGCAUAAUUCAAAAAAUAAACAAUAUUUCCAUGCUCUCAUAAUAAUAAAAUUUCCAUCCUCGUAGUAAUAAAAUUGCCAUGUGUGAAGGUAUUUUUUUUUUUUUGCAAAAUUGGUAUGAAAAUAUUUGAUAAAAAAUCCCAAAGCUUGCCAUGGUAGCAUUACAAAAAAGACUAAAUUUGCCUGUUUGAAACUAAAAAAUGUUAUGAUUUGUAAUGGGACCAUAAGAAUAUUUUACUAGUAAAAGUUUCGAUCUGUACAAACAAACUUGACAAUUUGACAUGUAUAACCUGACAUAACAAAUACAGCUGUCUUUGGCUUCCGUGUGAGUCUACCAAAAUAUAUGGCCGAGGGAAUCAAGUCCACCAAAGCGUACGAUAGGACUUCUUUGCAAAUGUAGUCCAACUUUGAAAAGCAAAUCAAUUCGUGCCCGACCCAUGUCGCCCUAAUCGUGUAUUCGUAUACUCCGUAUCAAGCAGGACGAAUCAUAAAGCUGGGGCCACGCGAUCUUUCCGGAAGGCUCAAGAGCUCACCUGAUCUCUCUGGAAGCUUCUAAACCCAGUUCACCAUCCCCUCCCCCAGGAAACCUCUCCCGCCCCUCCUUUACAAGACCCCGUCCAUUUCGCACCCCGUCUCGCUCACCAUAAGAAUCCAAAGUCAUCACAGCACAGAGAGAGAAGAGAAAGAAGAGAGAGAAAGAGAAAAGAGAGAAGAGAGAGAGAGAGACCAUGGCUUCCCCCAUCGCUUGCAAGGGUGCCACGCCGGCCAGCCUCCUGAAGUCCGGCGCUCCUGUGGCCUUCUACCCCCACAACACCACCGCCGUCACCUCCGACCACCGCCCGUACAACACCCUGAUCAAGGAGGCCAUCUGCUACGACGACGACGACCGCAACCUCGUCCUCCCCAGCUUCUUCUCGCACGGUAUGUCUUCCUUGCUUGUGACCUCUCCUCUGCCGUUCUUUUGCGUUCGUUCUUCAUACCGCGAGGCAGGGUUCUGAUCUGUUUUUGCCGUCCUCGAUGUUGAUUCUGCAGGCCCAAUAGCUCCUGUGCGACGUCUUUCGUGGAAAUUGGAUGGAAUGAGACGUUGUUCGACAGAAUGGCUCGGCAGCGACACUUUUGAGCGAGUAAAUAGCUCCUAUGCGACAUGGUCCUUAAGCUGAACUGAUAUCCUCAUUAGCUGUUAUGGGUUGGACCCACAACGUAUCCACGUAAGCGCGGGACCCACCACUUGUCCAGUAAGCGCGGGACCUACCUCGUCGCGGCUAGAAGCGAUUCCAUCCGUGCCCGUCCGUCCGCCGCCGCCCAUUGCUUUCCCCUUUCCCCAUUCUUCUUCUUCCUCGGGUCUCCGGCGACCUAGUGCAGAUGUCCACCUCCUCCGCCACGCAAUCAAACUGGCGUCAGUAUGGUCCAGUGAUGCUCACAAGGUGCCCUAACUGCCCACGCCCAGAGCCUCUCAAACGGUUGGUGACUAAGACGGAUGAGAAUGGCAAUUUUGGGCGGGAGUUUGUGAAAUGCUUGAGCAAACCAAUGGCAGGAAGGGAUGGCAAGGUUAGAUCUCGGUUCUAAGCCCGUUCUUUCGCUGUUGUUUGCUUUGAUUUCUCCAUAUUCUGUUUUUUCUCCUCGAAUUUGAGAUUUAGGGUUUAUUUUGUGGUUUGCGGAUCCUGAAGAAAUGCACACAUUUCGAGUGGAUUGAUGAAUAUGUUCAGAGGAUUAAAUCUGAGGGCUACAUUGAUUCUAGCGUGGCCGCAACCUGGGAGCUCAAUUUGGGCGGGGUGCCGCAGAUGGAGAAUUGGGGGAGCUCGGACAGAGGGCGGGCAGAGUUCUGCCGAUGGCGAGGUACUUGGAGUCUGAACUGACCGAUGAACUGAAGAAGAUAAAGAAAAAUCAAAGGGAGAUGAUCGAUUUGCAGAAGCAAGCAAAUAUCAUGGCAGUGUUUUUUUAUUGCUGUGUCAUUGCUCUGUUUAUGUUUUACUUGCUAUUCAUCGUCAUUAGAGGGGGUAUUUAGAUCUGUCCAGUGUAGAUGAUGUGAUCUGUGCGCCAUGACAAGUUCAUGUAUCUUAAAUGAAUCAGCAGUUUGGAACACAAAUUAUUCAGUUUUCAUGUUGUGUUUCCUCUGUUUUUUGUUCUUCAGUUAACAGAGUACACACCCAAAUUCAGUUUGCAGUAAAAAAAAACAAAAUUGGGCUGCCGAGUGCGAGACCAAACAAAGUUCAGUUUCAGUAUAAAAAAAUUAUUCAUGGGCUGACGAAUAGAUGUUGGGCCCAAAAUAAAAAGGACGGAUUAUAACCCGUCCCAAAGGUGUAAUUUACAAAAGGUACUACUGAUUUCAAUAGGAAUAACCAGGCCCAAAAUUCUUUGACUGGUCAUGUAUGAUUUUCAAUAGGAAAUAAAAACGACGGAUUAUGUACAACAAUCCAAGUUCAUUUAUCUUAAUAGGGUUGAACAUCUAAUCCGAUCUGUAUUAUUUACAAACAUGGCCUAAGCGGCCUACAAGAUACAAGUUUAAAAUCUACAGAGCUAGUACUACACGGGGCAACUACACGUGAGGAACGUCGGGCACGUCUUCUGACUGCUCCUUUUUUGGGGCUUACUCGCUACAGAAUCGCCUGUGAUGUGUGGAACAGUGGCUGGAACAGGUUCUGGCUGCUUCUUUUCUGGCCCUUACUCGCUGCAGAAUCGCCUGUUCUGGCUGGAACGGGCCCGGCUGGAACAGGUUCUGGCUGCUUCUUUUCUGGCCCGCCCCUUGGUCGUUGUGGCUGCGCUCCAUUGGCCCCCCUCCAUUGCUGCCUUGCUACUCCUGGGUCAACCAAACGAGAGAUUAGUCCCUGGUGAAUGGUGACAAGAUAAACACAGAACCAUGAAUGGAAACUUGUUAUAUGCAAAGUUUAAAACCAAAAUUCACACGUUCACGAUAUCGACGAAAUGAGCUAGGGUUGAACAUAAUUAAUUCAAAAAAAUCAAAAAAAUAUAAAACCAGCACACAUUGUCAUUUUACAUCACAUACUUAGCAAACAAAAUAUAAACUUUAAACAAAAUAUAAACUUUGAUUUUGAGUCGGUCAACGUUUUUGUGAAAAAGUUGACUAUUUUUCAAAUGAGCACAAAUAAUUCAAAAAAAUAAAAAAAAUCAAAACUUGUGCCCAUAGUCCUAUUAUGUUGCAUAUCAACCAAAAAUAUAUAUAAACAUGGUUUAUAUACAUUUGCAGGAAAAUUCCUUUAAGAAGAUGACGUUUACCCUACCUUAUGAGGUUGUUUGUCACACAUUUUUCAUGACUAUGGCUCUAACUUAACAAAAGAGCUCAGAAUGAUGACAUAACAACCAUAUUUGAGUUGUUGUGGUAGCAUUGAAACAUCAUACCCGAGUCAAAAGUUCAACUUACUCCAAAUUUGAAUUUAAACCGAAAUUUUUAUUUUUCAUCAAAUUUGAAAUUCAGUUUGGAAACAAUAAUAAACAAACAAGUUUUGAUGGAAACAUGUGGGUACAUAGUGCCCAACAAAUUUUAUUACAUGCCAUAAAUUUCAAAUGAUCAACAGUUCUAUCUCUUCCGACCACGUCGUGUACCCUUCUUCGCCUUGGCAUUUCUUGUUUUUGGUUGUACUGCACACACACACAAGUUCACUGGUUUUCUUCACUGGACUCGAUGCUAGCGCCUCAUGAAACUCGAUAUCAGCUUCGGUUUCGACAGUUUCGACAGUGUGCACAGCUUCAGUUUCAGUUUCGACAGUGUGCACAACUUUAGUUUCGACAGUGUGCACAGCUUCAGUUUCGACAGUGUGCACAGCUUUAAUUUCGUCACUUGCAGCACGAAACUGUUCCAUCCACUAACUUGUUUGCCUUCUGCUGCCACUCACUCUUGCUCUUUUUGUUGGCCAACACUGUUCAACAACAAUAGGCUGACUUGGAAGCUUCCUCCUGAAAACAACAAAGCAUGCCACAUAUUUAUAAUUUAAACAAAAUCAGAAUAUGAACAAACACAAAUAAACAAACACAUACUUUUUCGGAUUAGGAGGAGAGAAAAUGCAUAGUCUGGAUCCCUCUCUGUGCCCAAGUAUUUGGCACCUUUUGCAUCUGUUUUUGUUACCCUUUUGAGCCCUUUUUGGCUUUGCAUCUUUCUUGUCCUUCUUGCCCUUCUUACUACUCCCACCUUUUUCAAACCAUGCUUUGAAUCUACUCUGUUUAGGUCUGUCUGCCUUUUUUUUUGUUAGAGGAGGACACAUGGAAUAUUCAAGCGGCACUUCUGGCCACUGUUCGUGAUCUGUAAGAGGUGGAAUUGGAGUUGCAUAUGCAGCUCUGAAUUUUGCUACCGAAUAAUACUCAUGCAGAUAUGGAUGCAUAUUUAUCUUUGGUUGGCCGGCUAAGAAUAGAAUGACAUGAUCACAUGGUUUACCAGUGGCCUGUCAUUCGAGGCAACUGCAAUCAUGCAAUUCAGUGUUAACAACAUGCCUCCUUCCAGUCUUGUUAUCUCUAACUUCAGCACCCCACAGUGAUGAUUUUUCAACAGACAAAUGUGUAAGACCUCUGCUUCUGUUGACCACUGCUGGAAGUUUAUCACCUUGCAGACAAUCAUCAAUCUUUUUUCUCAAUUCCCACAGCCGCAUGAGCAUGAUCCUGAUUUGAUCAACCAUGUCAUGCACAUACAAAUCUUUUAGCUGCUUCACCUUGUUGUUGAAACUUUCUGCUAAAUUGUUGUUGAUAUGGUCACACUUGAUGGCAGUGUUGAAUCCUGACCUGUACCAUAAUAAAGAAUGGUAGGUGUUCAACCAUGUACCAAACUCCUCACAUGUUGCCAUUACCUUACUAAGAUGAUAUGAAUGUGUCUGUUUAGUGUAAGAUCUUGCUGCUGGCCACAUUCUCCCAAAUUCAUCUCCUCUGAAUUUUUUGAUCAAAUUCAUCCACAAAUGGCCGAAGCACUCCCUUUGCUUAGCAUGUGGGAACACAUUUUAACUGUAUUUUCUAGACCUUUGCAUGCAUCUGUGUGUAUUGCCAAAGGUGACACUGGCCCUAAGCAUCUUUUCAACUACAUCAUGAACCAUGUCCAUGAAGCCUCUGUCUUUGACUGAAACAAGCCAAUAGCAACUCGAAACAUCCAGUUAUGUCCAUCUAGAGCAUUACAUGCUGCCAACUGACCAUUCCACUUGCUUGUAAAAAAUGAUGAGUCUAUGCUCAAAUAUGGACGACAUCCUGCUUUGAAGCCAUCGAUGCAAGGCUUUAAAGCCAUAAAUUUUUUGGAGAAAUAAACCUUGCCAUCCUCUGAUACCUCACUAUCUAUCUCGACAACACUGCUAGGUGACCUUUUCUCCACCUCUGCUUUGAAAUUGAAAAGCAGCCUAAAUGUGUUUGCCCAAUCACCAUACAAAUUCUUCAUUGCCCUUUGUUUAGCCUUACACACUGUGGUAUAAUGCAGUUUAAUGGGGUACAACUUUUCCAAGUCUACUUGGAGUCUUUUUGCAGUAGUGUUGGGUGUUUUGGCCAAAAUUGGAGUUAUCUUUUCUGCAACCCAAAUCUGUGAUGUCAUGCUUGAUGUUUUCUGUGAACUUGUGAGACAAGUAUGUUUAUUAGGGAUUUGGUUAACCCUGACAGUACUUCGUCUAGCAGAUAUGUACNNNNNNNNNNNNNNNNNNNNNNNNNNNNNNNNNNNNNNNNNNNNNNNNNNNNNNNNNNNNNNNNNNNNNNNNNNNNNNNNNNNNNNNNNNNNNNNNNNNNCAAUGUAACUUAGUGUAAGUUGCGGGAUCUUGUAUUACGGAACGAGUAAAGAGACUUGCCGGUAAACGAGAUUGAAAUAGGUAUGCGGAUACUGACGAUCGAAUCUCGGGCAAGUAACAUACCGAAGGACAAAGGGAAUGACAUACGGGAUUAUAUGAAUCCUUGGCACUGAGGUUCAAACGAUAAGAUCUUCGUAGAAUAUGUAGGAUCCAAUAUGGGCAUCCAGGUCCCGCUAUUGGAUAUUGACCGAGGAGUCUCUCGGGUCAUGUCUACAUAGUUCUCGAACCCGCAGGGUCUGCACACUUAAGGUUCGACGUUGUUUUAUGCGUAUUUGAGUUAUAUGGUUGGUUACCGAAUGUUGUUCGGAGUCCGUUUUCGGAGUUACCGGGAAUGACGAAUGGGUUUCGGGAGUUCACCGGGGGGGGGGGGCAACCCACCCCGGGGAAGCCCAUAGGCCUUGAGGGUGGCGCACCAGCCCUUAGUGGGCUGGUGGGGCAGCCCAAAAGGGCCCUAUGCGCAUUGGAAGAAAAAUCAAAGAGAAAAGAANNNNNNNNNNNNNNNNNNNNNNNNNNNNNNNNNNNNNNNNNNNNNNNNNNNNNNNNNNNNNNNNNNNNNNNNNNNNNNNNNNNNNNNNNNNNNNNNNNNNAUCGCUACGAGUAACCCCGUUGCUCAAAGAUGACUGGCAAGUGUCGGUUUAUCCAACUUUAGUUGAAUCGGAUUUGACCGAGGAGGUCCUUGGAUGAGGUUAAAUAGCAACUCAUAUAUCUCCGUUGUGGUGUUUGCGUAAGUAAGAUGCGAUCCUACUAGAUACCCAUGGUCACCACGUAAAACAUGCAACAACAAAAUUAGAGGACGUCUAACUUAUUUUUGCAGGGUAUGCUUGUGAUGUGAUAUGGCCAACGAUGUGAUGUGAUAUAUUGGAUGUAUGAGAUGAUCAUGUUGUAAUAGAUAAUAUCGACUUGCACGUCGAUGGUACGGCAACCGGCAGGAGCCACAUGGUUGUCUUUAUACUAAUGUUUGUGCUUGCAGAUGCGUUUACUAUUUUGCUAGGAUGUAGCUUUAGUAGCAAUAGCAUGAGUACCACGACAACCCCGAUGGCGACACGUUGAUGGAGAUCAUGGUGUGGCGCCGGUGACAAGAAGAUCGUGCCGGUGCUUUGGUGAUGGAGAUCAAGAAGCACGUGAUGAUGGCCAUAUCAUGUCACUUAUGAAUUGCAUGUGAUGUUAAUCCUUUUAUGCACCUUAUUUUGCUUAGAACGACGGUAGCAUUAUGAGGUGAUCUCUCACUAAAAUUUCAAGACGAACUUGUGUUCUCCCCGACUGUGCACCGUUGCUACAGUUCGUCGUUUCGAGACACCACGUGAUGAUCGGGUGUGAUAGACUCAACGUUCACAUACAACGGGUGCAAAACAGUUGCGCACGCGGAACACUCGGGUUAAGCUUGACGAGCCUAGCAUGUGCAGACAUGGCCUCGGAACACAUGAGACCGAAAGGUCGAUCAUGAAUCAUAUAGAUGAUAUGAUUAGCAUAUGGAUGCUUACCACUGAAACUAUACUCAACUCACGUGAUGAUCGGACUUGAGCUAGUGUAAGUGGAUCAUGAACCACUCAAAUGACUAGAGAGAUGUACUUUUUGAGUGGGAGUUUAGCGAAUAAUUUGAUUAAGUUAAACUCUAAUUAUCUUGAACAUAGUCUAAGUCCACUUUGAAUAUAUUUGUGUUGUAGAUCAUGGCUCACGCGACAGUCACCCUGAAUUUUAAUACGUUCCUAGAGAAAGCUAAGUUGAAAGAUGAUGGAAGCAACUUUGUAGACUGGGCUCGUAAUCUUAAGCUAAUCUUACAAGCUGGGAAGAAGGAUUAUGUCCUUAAUGCUGCGCUAGGAGAUGAACCACCCGCUACGGCUGAUCAGGAUGUUAAGAACGCUUGGUUAGCACGUAAGGAGGACUACUCCGUAGUUCAAUGUGCAGUCUUGUAUGGCUUAGAACCGGGACUUCAACGUCGCUUUGAGCGUCAUGGAGCAUUUGAGAUGUUCCAGGAGUUGAAGUUUAUCUUUCAGAAGAACGCACGGAUCGAGAGGUAUGAGACCUCCGAUAAAUUCUAUGCUUGCAAGAUGGAGGAGAACUCGUCUGUUAGUGAACAUGUGCUCAAAAUGUCUGGGUACUCAAACCGUCUAGCUGAGAUGGGGAUUGAACUCCCGCAAGAGGCUAUCACUGACAGAAUCCUUCAAUCAUUGCCGCCAAGCUAUAAAGGCUUUGUGUUGAACUACAACAUGCAAGGGAUGAACAAAUCACCCCGCGAGUUGUUUGCGAUGCUGAAAGUCGCAGAGUCUGAACUUCGUAAAGAGCAUCAAGUGUUGAUGGUGAAUAAGACCACUAGUUUCAAGAGAAACGACAAAGGCAAGAAGGGUAAUUCAAAGAAGAGCGGCAAGCCUGUUGCCAAUCCGACGAAGAAACCCAAAGCUGUACCUAAGCCUGAAACAGAGUGUUACUAUUGCAAGGGUAUGGGUCACUGGAGGCGCAAUUGCCCCAAGUAUCUGGCAGAUAAGAAGGCGGCCAAAGAAAAAUCAGGUAUAUUUGAUAUACAUGUUAUUGAUGUGUACUUAACCGGCUCUCGUAGUAGUGCCUGGGUAUUCGAUACCGGUUAUGUUGCUCAUAUUUGCAACUCGAAAUAGGAACUGCGGAAUAGACGAAGGCUGGCGAAAGAUGAAGUGACGAUGCGCGUAGGAAAUGGUUCCAAGGUUGAUGCAAUCGCCGUCGGCACAGUUUCACUUCAGUUACCAUCAGGAUUAGUUAUGAACUUGAAUCAUUGUUAUUUAGUGCCUGCGUUGAGCAUGAACUUUAUAUCUGGAUCUUGUUUAUUGCGAGACGGUUACUCUUUUAAGUCAGAGAAUAAUGGUUGUUCUAUUUCUAUGAGUAACAUCUUUUAUGGUCAUGCACCCAAUGUGAGAGGAUUGUUCAUAUUGAAUCUUGAUAGCAAUACACACAUACAUAACAUUGAGACCAAAAGAGUUAGAGUUAACAAUGAUAGCGCCAUAUUUUUGUGGCACUGCCGCUUAGGUCAUAUUGGUGUAAAGCGCAUGAAGAAACUCCAUGCCGAUGGACUUUUGGAGUCACUUGACUUUGAUUCACUUGACACGUGCGAACCAUGCCUCAUGGGCAAGAUGACUAAAACUCCGUUCUCCGGAACAAUGGAGCGUGCAAGUGACUUGUUGGAAAUCAUACAUACCGAUGUGUGUGGUCCGAUGAGCGUAGAGGCACGCGGCGGAUAUUGUUAUUUUCUCACCUUCACUGACGAUUUGAGUAGAUAUGGUUAUGUCUACUUAAUGAAGCACAAGUCUGAAGCAUUUGAAAAGUUCAAGCAAUUUCAGAGUGAAGUUGAAAAUCAUCGUAACAAGAAGAUCAAGUUCCUACGGUCUGAUCGUGGGGAUCAAUAUCUGAGUUUCGAGUUUGGUGCUCACUUAAGACAAUGUGGAAUUGUUUCACAGCUGACACCGCCUGGAACACCACAGCGUAAUGGUGUGUCCGAACUUCGUAAUCGUACUUUAUUAGAGAUGGUGCGAUCUAUGAUGUCUCUUACCGAUUUGCCGUUAUCGUUUUGGGGUUAUGCAUUAGAAACAACUGCAUUCACUUUAAAUAGGGCACCAUCAAAAUCCGUUGAGACGACACCAUACGAACUGUGGUAUGGAAAAAGGCCAAAGUUGUCGUUUCUUAAAGUUUGGGGAUGUGAUGCUUAUGUCAAAAAGCUUCAGCGUGAAAAGCUGGAACCCAAAGAGGAAAAGUGCAUCUUCAUAGGUUACCCAAAAGAGACAGUUGGGUACACCUUCUAUCUCAAAUCCGAGGGCAAAGUGUUUGUUGCUAAAAACGGAGCUUUUCUCGAGAAGGAGUUUCUCUCGAGAGAAUUGAGUGGGAGGAAGAUAGAACUUGACGAGGUUGUCGAAUUUCUCAUCCCUCUGGAUGGUGGCGCAGGGCAAGGGCAAACCUCUGUCGUUGCGACGCCGGUUGAGGAGGAAGUUAAUGAUGAUGAUCAUGAAACUCCGGUUCAAGUUUCUGUCGAACCACGCAGGUCGACUAGACCACGUGCUGCUCCAGAGUGGUACAGUAAUCCCGUCUUAUCAAUCAUGUUGUUGGACAACAAUGAACCUGCAAAUUAUGAAGAAGCAAUGGUGGGCCCAGAUUCCAACAAAUGGCUAGAAGCCAUGAAGUCCGAGAUAGGAUCCAUGUAUGAGAACAAAGUGUGGACUUUGGAGGUACUGCCUGAGGGCCGCAAGGCUAUUCAGAACAAAUGGAUCUUUAAGAGGAAGACGGACGCUGACGGCAAUGUGACCGUUUAUAAAGCUCGACUUGUGGCAAAGGGUUUUUCACAAGUUCAAGGAGUUGACUACGAUGAGACAUUCUCACCCGUAGCGAUGCUUAAGUCCGUCAGAAUCAUGUUAGCAAUAGCUGCAUUUUUCGGUUAUGAAAUCUGGCAGAUGGAUGUCAAAACGGCGUUCCUUAACGGUUUCCUUAAGGAAGAAUUGUAUAUGAUGCAACCCGAAGGUUUUGUCGAUCCUAAGAAUGCUAACAAGGUGUGCAAGCUCCAACGAUCCAUUUAUGGACUGGUGCAAGCAUCUCGGAGUUGGAACAAACGCUUUGAUGAGGUGAUGAAAGCAUUUGGUUUAUACAAGUGGUUGGAGAAUCUUGUAUUUACAAGAAAGUGAGUGGGAGCUCUGUGGCGUUUCUAAUAUUAUAUGUGGAUGACAUAUUGCUGAUUGGAAACAACGUAGAGUUUUUGGAGAGCAUAAAGGAUUACUUGAAUAAAAGUUUCUCUAUGAAGGACCUAGGAGAAGCUGCUUACAUUCUAGGCAUUAAGAUCUAUAGGGAUAGAUCAAAACGCCUUAUAGGACUUUCACAAAGCACAUACCUUGAUAAAGUUUUGAAGAGGUUCAAAAUGGAACAGUCCAAGAAGGGGUUCUUGCCAGUUUUACAAGGUACGAGAUUGAGUAAGACUCAGUGCCCAACAACUGAUGAAGAUAGAGAGCAUAUGCGCUCCAUCCCCUAUGCUUCAGCCAUAGGUUCUAUCAUGUAUGCAAUGUUGUGCAUUAGACCGGACGUUAGCCUGGCCAUAAGUAUGGCAGGUAGGUUCCAGAGUAAUCCAGGAGUGGAUCACUGGACAACGGUCAAGAAUAUCCUGAAGUACAUGAAAAGGUCUAAGGAGAUGUUUCUCGUGUAUGGAGGUGACGAAGAGCUCGCCGUAAAAGGUUACGUUGAUGCAAGCUUUGACACAGAUCCGGACGACGCUAAGUCGCAAACCGGAUACAUAUUUAUUCUUAAUGGGGGUGCGGUAAGCUGGUGUAGUUCCAAGCAAAGCGUCGUAGCAGAUUCUACAUGUGAAGCGGAGUACAUGGCUGCCUCGGAGGCGGCUAAGGAGGGUGUCUGGAUGAAGCAGUUCAUGACGGAUCUUGGAGUGGUGCCAAGCGCACUGAAUCCAAUAACCUUGUUCUGUGACAACACGGGUGCCAUUGCCUUAGCAAAGGAACCACGGUUUCACAAGAAGUCCAGACACAUCAAACGACGCUUCAACCUCAUCCGCGACUACGUCGAAGGAGAGGACGUAAAUAUAUGCAAAGUGCACACGGAUCUGAAUGUAGCAGACUUGCUGACUAAACCUCUUCCACGGCCAAAGCAUGAUCAACACCAGAACUGUAUGGGUGUUAGAUUUAUUACAAUGUAAUUCGCAUGAUGAUGUGAGGGCUAGAUUAUUGACUCUAGUGCAAGUGGGAGACUGUUGGAAUUAUGCCCUAGAGGCAAUAAUAAAUAUAGUUAUUAUUAUAAUUCCUGUAUCAAGAUAAUAGUUUAUUAUCCAUGCUAUAAUUGUAUUGAAUGAAGACUCAUUUACAUGUGUGGAUACAUAGACAAAACACCGUCCCUAGCAUGCCUCUAGUUGGCUAGCCAGUUGAUCGAUGAUAGUCAGUGUCUUCUUAUUAUGAACAAGGUGUUGUUGCUUGAUAACAGGAUCACGUCAUUGGGAGAAUCACGUGAUGGACUAGACCCAAACAAAUAGACGUAGCAUGUUGAUCGUGUCAUUUUGUUGCUACUGUUUUCUGCGUGUCAAGUAUUUAUUCCUAUGACCAUGAUAUCAUAUAACUCACUGACACCGGAGGAAUGCUUUGUGUGUAUCAAAGGUCGCAACGUAACUGGGUGACUAUAAAGAUGCNNNNNNNNNNNNNNNNNNNNNNNNNNNNNNNNNNNNNNNNNNNNNNNNNNNNNNNNNNNNNNNNNNNNNNNNNNNNNNNNNNNNNNNNNNNNNNNNNNNNAAAGUUCACCACUAAAUUAGGAUACAUGACCAAAUUCACCACCAAAUCAGUUCAUCAUACGCCAAACUUAAGGAGAUCACCAAGGUUUCAUGACCGAAUUCACAACCAAAUCAGUUCAUCAUAGGCCAAACUUGAGGAAAUCAACAGAAUUUCAUGACCAAUUUCACCACCAAAUAAAGUUCAUCACAUGCCGAACUUGAGGAAAUCAACAAGUUAUUGACCCCCCAAAAAAAGAGUUCAUGACCAGUUUCACUAUCAAAUCAGUUAAUUACCUCAAACUAGAGGAAAUCAACAAAGUUUAAUGACGAAUUUUCACCAGCAAAGUAGUUCAUGAUGCUUUUUUUUUUUGGAAAAUCAACAGAGUUCAGGAUCAACUUCUCCACCAAAGUACAGUUGAUAAUGUCACAAAUAGGAUAAACACAAAACAUUCAGGGAACCACCAAAUCAGUUCAUCACAUUAUACGUACAUGAGUAAAUCAACGAAGUUACAGUUCUUACAAAAACAAACAAACGGCCAUCUGAUGGGAUUGUUCACGUAGAAGUUACUGUUCUUGCAAGAAGUUAAACUCAAGGAUAAGCACACAAAAUUCACGUAACAGCAAGCAAAAAUCAUCAGUUCACCAACUCCAUGACGUCAAACUGGAGGGGAUCAGUCAAUUUUUCAGAGAGCUUAAAGCAAAAGCUGUAACUCCAUGACGUCUAACUGCCCAGCUUUUUACAGAGAGCUUAAAGCAAAAGCAAUGCAGAUCAAGGACGAGAAAAGGUAAACAUGCGAGACUAACUUGAGACAAUCAACAAAGAUCAUGACCAAAUUCACUACUAGAUUAGGCCAGCAUGCCAAACUGAAGAUCAACAAGGUUUCAUGACAAAUUUUAGCACCAAAUCAGUUCAUGAUAUGCCAAACUUGAGGAAAUCACCAGAAUUUCAUGACCAAUUUCACCACCAAAGCAAGUUCAUCACAAGCCGAACAUAGAGGAAACUAACAGAGUUCAUGACAGACUUCACCGCCAGACCACUACCUAGUCGAACUCGAUCCN
rnacentral:lncRNA from 1 species